UACUGAAAAUUAAAAGGAGGAUUACACUAAUUAAACAAGAUUACAACUAAUUAAGUAAAAGACAUUUCAAUAAACCAUGCAAAUUCUCCGAUCAUCAACUUCUGCAAUUUCACAUUUUCUUUGGCACCGGUGGAAAAUUGAGGUCGAUCUGAAUGCCCUUAGUAUCAUUACCCAAAAAAUCAACCACUGAUGAAGAAUCUGACUUACUGAGAUCUCCUGCAUUGGAACCCAUGAUUACGGAUCCGAAUCCAUUAGUAUGAAACAUUUCACCACGAUCAAGACCGCCACCACCACCACGAGCAUCAAGAUAUUCUGAGUCUGGAAGGAAAAGAACUUACUUCCUAGAUAAUACGAGGACCUGCCAAGGGUUAGAUCCAAUGGGAGCGAUGAUGAUUCAACUAUCACCAGUUCCUCAGGAAUUAGGAAGUUUGUUUUCAACAGUACUCACCUCACUGGGACUUUGAGUCAAAUCAACAGGAAUUGGGAAGUUUGUCUUUGCCUUAACACCUUGAAACUCUAUGGCUGUUGCAUCAUACGCAAUCCCUGCAUCCACUGUAGUAUCAAAUGUACCUAACCAUACUUGGCAUUUCCUAUGUGGAUCUCUUAUCUCCGCUGCGUAUCUCCCCCAUGGCCUCUUCCUUACUCAGCGGUAAUGCACCUCCUUUUCUACUAUUGUUGCUGUCACCGCCGCCGUACGUCUAUGCCUACGUGCCAUUUUUUGGGGAGGGGGAUAGUAUUUUUUUUUUUUUUAGUAUGACAUAAAAUAAUUUGAAGAAGUCAUAAGGAUGAGCGAAAGUAUAGGAAGGAAAGAGCUACUAAAAUAGGAAAGUGGCGAAGGAAGAAAUAAAAACUUAGUCAACAGAGGGAGUGCUUUACUUGACUGAUGUAAUUGUGGGUCCACAUGUGAUGUGACAAGUUUAUUGCUUAAUUAAGAAAUUUUUUGAUAAUGGUGUCUUAAAUAUUUACUUUCUUUAUUUCUUUUUAAUUGCUUUUUUUUUUUAGAGUCAAAUAAUAUAAACUUUGAUCAAUAUUUUAAGAUGUAUUUUUAAUUAAAUUAACAAAAAUUGUAAUUUAUAAUAACUUUCAUGUAGUUUUUGAAUAUUUAAAUUUUAAUUUUAAAAUAAUUAAAUUAAUCUAAUCUAUUUUAACUUUGAAACUUAGUCAAAUUGACUCACGAAAAAUGAGGGGAACAAUUUAAAAGAAAUGAAGGGAGUAUAAAUUUUACUCCUUCCGUUCUAAUUUAUAUACGCCACUUUGUCUAAACUUUAAAAAAGGAAGAGAGAUUUAUGAAAUUUAUGAUCUAUAAUAAGUCAUAAAUAUUUGCGUGACUAUAAAUUAUUUUAUUAAGGAUAAAAAAGGACAUUUUAAAGUUAAAUUGUUAUUAAAUACAGAAGUGUAUCAUUCUUACUGGGGAAGUAAUAUUGAUCCUUAUUAUUUUUGGUUGGUUAAGUUUUUACUUUUGAUUAAUUGAUAUGUGCACAUCUCCGAAAAAUAGCAAUUAAGAAGAGAGAAUGUAUACUAAGAAAAAGAUUUAAUUUUUUCUUUGUUAUAUGACACGAUUAAAGGUCUUAAAUAAAAAUUAUGUAUACUUAUAAUAGAUUAAAUCAUCAUAACAAUUUCGGUCCUGUUAUAAAUGUAUUUACAUUAUAGUGAAUGUUUAUCAAGAUCUAAUAAGAUCUAGUUGACAUCUAUCAUGAUUUGAUGUAUUUGUCUUUUACUGUGAAACUAGGGACAAAUUUUCCCUAUAAAUAGAAGCUUCUUUCAUUGUAAAUCAUCCCUCAAGAGAAGAUAUAAGAAUUACUCUCUCUAUUCUCUCUACUUUUUUUUCAUGUUCUUUAUUAUUUUAUAACACGCUAUCAGCACGAGACUCUGCCAAACAAGGUGAGAUUAUAAAUCUAAAGGAUUUCAAGGUUAGUAAUUCUGUAAGUUAUCUUUCUUUUGCUACUACUAAUAUAAUUAUUAUUGGAUUUGAGGAAAAAUAAUUGGUUUGGAACCAUUUAUAUUUUAAAUUUAUUCCUCAAUAACAAUAUUAUAAAAAAUGAUGAUAAUAUGUUGGGUUCAAGUNNNNNNNNNNNNNNNNNNNNNNNNNNNNNNNNNNNNNNNNNNNNNNNNNNNNNNNNNNNNNNNNNNNNNNNNNNNNNNNNNNNNNNNNNNNNNNNNNNNNNNNNNNNNNNNNNNNNNNNNNNNNNNNNNNNNNNNNNNNNNNNNNNNNNNNNNNNNNNNNNNNNNNNNNNNNNNNNNNNNNNNNNNNNNNNNNNNNNNNNNNNNNNNNNNNNNNNNNNNNNNNNNNNNNNNNNNNNNNNNNNNNNNNNNNNNNNNNNNNNNNNNNNNNNNNNNNNNNNNNNNNNNNNNNNNNNNNNNNNNNNNNNNNNNNNNNNNNNNNNNNNNNNNNNNNNNNNNNNNNNNNNNNNNNNNNNNNNNNNNNNNNNNNNNNNNNNNNNNNNNNNNNNNNNNNNNNNNNNNNNNNNNNNNNNNNNNNNNNNNNNNNNNNNNNNNNNNNNNNNNNNNNNNNNNNNNNNNNNNNNNNNNNNNNNNNNNNNNNNNNNNNNNNNNNNNNNNNNNNNNNNNNNNNNNNNNNNNNNNNNNNNNNNNNNNNNNNNNNNNNNNNNNNNNNNNNNNNNNNNNNNNNNNNNNNNNNNNNNNNNNNNNNNNNNNNNNNNNNNNNNNNNNNNNNNNNNNNNNNNNNNNNNNNNNNNNNNNNNNNNNNNNNNNNNNNNNNNNNNNNNNNNNNNNNNNNNNNNNNNNNNNNNNNNNNNNNAGUUUACUAGAUUAAAAGUUCAUAAGUUGACAUGAACGAUUGCGAUAUUCCGAAGAUGUGCAUACUGAGUAUUGAACAUAUAUUGAAGAUUUAGAAAAUUCUUCAUGAACUUUAAUGUUGCUUGUUCUCGUGAUAAGUUGGUUGGACCAACUAAUUUUGGGAUUGGAUCCCUUAAAUUCUGAAAAGAAUAAAAGGUGAUAUAACCUUGGUGAUCAACAAAUCAUUUGUCCUAGAUAUCAUUGCCUAGUUUGAUACAAGUGUAGACCUCAUUUGUGUCCAAGAAGGACUUAUCCCUACUAAGUACUUCUAACAAUCUGCGGAAGCCCUUAGGGCUACAAAUGGUAGUAAACUAAGAAUAAGUUACAAACUUUCCGAUGUCGAAAUACGAAAUUCUCUAGGAAAUUCGCUUUUGUCAUCCUCUACUUCCUUUGUUCUAGUAAAGGAUAUAACCAGUCCUGUAAUGCUAGGCACCCCUUUAUUGAAACUUUAAUUUCUUUCAAGGUUUACUCAUAUGAGAAUAACUAUUUAAGCCAAAAAUAUAUUUAUCCCAUUUGAAAAACCGCCCAUUCAAAAAAUUUUAUCCUCUCUAAAAAUCAAAGAGGCUCAAAUUAAUUUUCUCAAAGAAGAAAUUGCAUUUCGAAGACUGAAGCAACAACUUUAGGAACCUUCUCUUUAAUCUAUGAUCAGGGCCUUAGAAACAAAGAUUGAAAAAGAGCUUUGUGCUGACCUACCCAUAAUAUUUUGGAAUCGCAAAAAGCAUAUGAUCAGGCUUCCUGACGAGCCUAACUUUGAUGAAAAAAUCAUUCCUACCAAAGCUCAUCCAAUUCAAAUGAAUCAUAAGAUGACAAUCUAUUGUCAGACGAAAAUCAAUGCUCUUCUAAAAAAAAAGAUCAUCUCACCAAGUAAAUCUCCUUGGAGUUGUGCUGCCUUCUAUGUCAAUAAAAGUUCCAAAAUUGAAUGAGGAGCCCCUCGUUUGGUUAUCAACUACAAACCUCACAUUUCCGCCCUUCAAUGGAUUAGAUAUCCUAUUCCUAAUAAAAAGGAUCUUCUCCAACGGCUUUAUGCUGCUAUAAUUUUUUUUCAAGUUUGAUCUAAAUUCAGGGUUUUGGCAAAUCCAAAUUGAUCCAAGAGAUCGUUAGAAAACUGCUUUUACAGUACAAUUUGGGCAAUAUGAAUGGAAAAUAAUGCUCUUUGGCCUAAAAAAUGCUCCUUUCGAAUUUCAAAAAAUAAUGAAUGACAUUUUAAUUCUUUUUCAAAAUUCAUUCUUGUGUAUAUUGAUGAUGUUUUAGUGUUUUCCACCAGCAUUGAUCAACAUUUUAAAUAUUUACGUGUCUUCUUUAAUAUCAUCAAAGAUAAUGGCUUAGUUUUGUCUAAAACUAAGUAUAGUUUUUUUCAGGCCGAUAUCAGAUUUCUCGGUCAAAAAAUUUGCAAUGGUACUGUUACCCCAAUUCAAAGGUCCAUCCAAUUUGCUAACCAAUUUCCCGAUCAAAUUCUUGAUAAAACUCAACUUCAAUGAUUUUUAGGAUGCGUUAAUUAUAUAGCAUAUUUUAUUCCCGGGUUCAACAAUCUAUUGAAACCUCUCCACGACAGGUUGAAAAAGCCUCCUCCUCCAUGGACUCAAAUUCAUAUCAAUGUAGUCAAAGAAAUAAAAUUAAAGUCGAAAGACCUCCCUUGCCUAUCUCUCCUUGAUCCCUCUGCAUUUAAAAUAGUUAAAACAGAUGCAUCAGACAUAGGCUAUGAUCACAUUUUAAAACAAAAGAAACAUGACAAAAAAUAAUUGCAUUUGCAUCCAAGCUUUGGAAUAAAGAUCAACAAAAUUAUCCUACUAUCAGAAAAGAAAUUUUAGCAACUGUGUUAUGCAUUUCCAAAUUUCAAGCUGAUUUGUUAAAUCAAAAAGUUUUACUAAGGAUUGAUUGUAAAACGGCGAAAUCUGUUUUGCAAAAAGAUGUAAAAAACCUUGCCUCUAAACAUAUAUUUGCUAGAUGGCAAACAAUUUUAUCUAUUUUUUAUUUUGAUAUUGAAUAUAUCAAAGAGAGCUCUAACUCUAUACCAGAUUUUUUUACCAGGAAAUUCUUUCAGGGAAGAUAAGAUGCCCAGAAAAAAUAAAAAAGAACCUCCACAAAUUCCAGCUCUUCUCCCGAAGAGACCACCAAAAAAGCUGUUACACCACAACAAAAUACUUCAGUUGCACCAAAGCAACUUCCAAAUGUAGUAGCUGACACAAAUCAACCAAUAUAUCAAACCUCAGUUGAUUAUGCCAUGCCAGGAUUACCAUAAUCUUUCAUAAUGCAAUAAAGUACAAAUCCAAUUUCAAUUUUCAAGACCAAGAAAUGGGCUGAUUUGGUCGACGAAGAAGACGAAGAGACUCAAUUAGCUCAAACAGUGUCUAUCCCCUGGACAAAAGAAAAUUUUAAACAAUGGCGCCUACUUAUGGGUCUUAAAGAUCUACCCAGCAUGUCAGGUGUCAACAGAAGGGAUUAUUUGAGAGAUUUUCAGAUCUUCCAAAAUAUGUGUUCGCAAGCGGAAGCCUCAAGCCACGCAUCGUCUCAUUCUGUGGUUGCUAAGAGCACCAUAAAAAAUCCAGUGGAUGUAGAAAACUCCAUUAAUUUUUCCUUUAACUUUCCACAAAAUGAUUCGAAUAUUUGUCCUGUACAAAUUAAAAUAAUUUCCUCUCCUACCCCACAACCAAUUUCUUCAAGUAAAGGAUCCUCCUCAAAUGAUCCGACAUAUUUAAAAAAUGAUAGUGUUUUACCGAUAAUCCAAAUUAAAGUUAAGUAUUGGCACUCCAACCUCCAAGAGGUAGCUAAGAAAAUACUUAGCCCUACAAUAAAUUUUAUCCAAAAAAUUCCUGCCCAUACCCAGAAGUUUUAUGAAUUCAUACUAACAGACACCAAAUCUUUUUUUUUCAAACCCCACAAAGACAAACUAACCCAGUCUUAUGUUACCCAUAUCACGGUGUGUAUUAACAAAAUCAUCUUACCAUAAGAAUGGGGUACGCAUCUUGCAAAAUAUCGAAAGCUUACUGAGGCCUUGAACCCCAAUAUUAUAAUUAUUUUGAUUAUCAAAGAGCUUGAAUGAAUGCAUUCACCUUCCAAAAUAAAACUAACAAACAUUCUUGAUAUUUACUCUGGGGAAAACAAACUAGCUUCAGAAUUCCCCAGUGGUUUCUACACCAAUGGUGGCCAAUUUUUGGCCACACCUUUGAGAUCCUUCCUCCCCCAGUCUGAGAAGGAUACGAAUAUUUUACCCAAAGCUUUCAUGAUGACCAUCAAAUUCCUUUGCUUUUACAAUUUUUCCACAGGUUUCAUAUUCCUUGGAUAUUUCAUGGAAAUUCGCCUUUCAUAAAUCAAAGGGGCACAAAGGACUUCCAUGGUUAGCCCUCCAGGGCUAUUGCAAAUGAUACAAGAAUUGGGAUCCGACGGAAGCUUACGUACCGGAAGUAGAAAAGUGGCAUCAGAUACCAAGUACAUGGAAGUGAACCCCCUAAAAUAUAGAGGAAAAUACGGAAAAAGAGAGUUAUUAAUGACAUAAUAAAUUAGGCGGCAGGACAGAUCAUAUGUUAAUGAUGCAACUAAUUAAAUAAAAUAAAGAAAGAACACAAAAUAUGAAAAUUGAUAUUAAUAUCAAAAAUAAAUUUGAAGAUUAAAAAUAGAGAUAGAGAAAGAGAGAGAGAGAGAGAGAGUGCAAAUUCUAGCCAAGUAUUCUAGAGAGAGCUUCUUACAAAGAAAAUAAUGUGUUAUCCUUAAGAAGAGGAAUGGAAUUUUUAUAGCCAAAAUAUGCUACAGUAAAAAUUCUACAGUAUCACUUUUAAUUAUUGCUACAGUAAAAAUUCUACAGUAGCACUUUUAACAAUAACAUCCACCAUAAUUGAGCUACAAUAACAUUGACUAUAAUUUUUCAGCAAUUGGUUGCUGAUGUCAUGCAUGAAAUCAAUAUUUUGAUGACUCCUUGAUGAUUUCAAUUUGAUUUCGAAUUGACUGAAUAUCUUCUUCAUCAUCCGUGUCUGAUUUUUGUAGUUGAAAAUUGGUUGUUGGAAAUUUCAGCUUUAAUUUAUUGGAGAAUUUUUUUCAUUUGUUGAAUGAAAUAUCCUCAGCUACCUGACUUAGACAAUUGUGCAUCUGCAAUUGAUUUUUAUUGUAGAAAUGAGAUUUGGGCGGCGUCUGUUGAGGUCAAAUAUCCUGGAUUGCGUAGGAACCACUUUUCUACUUUCGGUACAUAAGGUUCCGUCGGAUCCCAAUUCUUGUACCAUUUACAAUAGCCUUGGAGUUCUAACCAUGGAAGUCCUUUGUGCUCCUCUGGUUUAUGAAAGGCAAAAUUCCAUGAAAUAUCCAAGGAAUAUGGAACCUGUGGAAAAAUUGUAAAACCAAAGGAAUUCGAUGAUCAUCAUGAAAUCUUUAGGUAAAAUAUUUGUAUGCUUUCCGAACUGGGGGAGGAAGGAUCUCAAAUGUGUGGCCAAAAAUUGGCCACUAUUGGUGUGGAAAUCACUGGAAGAAUUCUGAAGCUCGUUGCUUUCCCCAGAGUAAAAACCAAGAAUGUUUAUUAGUUUUUAUUUGAAAGGUAAAUGCAUUCAUCCAUACUCUUUGAUAAUCAAAAUAAUUAUAAUAUUGGGGAUCAAAAGCCUCAGUAAGUUUUCGAUAUUUUGCAGGAUGUGUACCCCACUCUUUGGUGAGAUAAUUUUGUUAAUCCACACCGUGGUAUGGGUAACAUAAGACCGGGUUUGUUUGUCUUUUUGGGGUUUAAUAAAACAGGAUUUGGUUUCUGUUAGUAUAAAUUCAUAAAACUUUUGGGUAUGGACAGGAGUUUUUUGAAUAAAAUUUGCUUUCGGGCUAAGUAUUUGCUUAGCUACCUCUUGGAGGUUGGAGUGCCAAUACUCAACUUCAAUUUGAAUUAUUGAUUAAGAACUAUCAUUUUUGAAAUUUGUCGGAUCAUCUGAGGAGGAUACUUUACUUGAUGAAAUUGUAUGUGGGGUAGGUGAGGAAAUAAUUUUAGUUUAUACAGGACAAAUAUUUGAAUCAUUUUGUGGAAAGUUAAAGGAAAAAUUAAAGAGGUUUUCGACCUCCACUGGAUUUUUUAUGGUGCCCUUAGCAACCACAGAAUGAGAUGAUGAAAAUUGAAAUUGGAUUUGUACUUGAUUGCAUUAUGAAAGAUUAUGGUAAUCCCGACAUUCCAUAAUUAGCUAAGGUUUGAUAUCUUGGCUGAUUUGUGUCAGCUACUACAUUUGGAAGUUUCUUCGGUGCACCUGAAAUUUUUUGCUGUGGUGUAACAACUUUUUUGGUAGUCUCUUCUGGAGAUGGAAGGGCAAGAAUUUGUGGAGGUGGAGGUUUUUUUUGGGGGGGCUUCUUAUUUUCGCUGCAAGAAUUUUCUGGUAAGAAAAUCUGGUAUAAAGUUGGAGCUCCCUUUGAUAUAUUCAAUAUCAAAAUAAAAAAUAGAUAAAAUUGCCUGCAAUCUAGCAAAUAUAUGUUUAGAGGCAAGGUUUUGUACAUUUUUUGUAAAAUAGCUUUCGCCGCUUUACAAUCAAUCCUUGAUAAAUUUUUUUGAUUUAACAAAUCAGCUUGAAAUUUGGAAAUACAUAACACAGUUGCUAAAAUUUCUUUUUUGAUAGUAAGAUAAUUUUACUGACCUUUAUUCCAAUGUUUAGAUGCAAAUGCAACUAAAUAUUCUUUAAGGCUGAGUAAGUUGGAGAUUGGGGUGGAUCAUCAUGGAUCUUGGUGGGAGGUGUUUCCACAGAAUAUUUAGCUUGUGAAAAUCUAGAUUCGAAGUUAACAGUCUCAAUUCUAGAAAGAAAUGAGGAAACUGAAUUCCUAGCCGUCUGUAUCUCGGGGAGAACAGAGAUCCAUUGGCUUUGAGAUCUCUGGAAAGAAAUAGAAAUAGUUCCUGUGGAGAACUGUCAGAUCUGAGAAACUAUAGUAUUCUCAAGUUUGUCUACUGGGCUAUAUAUUGCAACAUCCAACUCUGGGGAAAGGAUACUUGAUUCCAAGAGAUCUGCUUGGUAACUGACAAGUGAGACCGUUGAAGGCCAAUUUGGAAGAGUAUGAUUUCUCCUUUGUAGCUAUUUUUCAUAGAUUAGGAGCUAAAGUCAGUAUUCAUGGCCUUAUACUGAAUUCCAUAAAUGAUUGCUACUGGGAGAGAUCCAUAUUUGGUUUUGUAAUUGGAUGUCUUUACAAUGAGUGUUAAAGAAUUUAAUAUAUUUAGAUCCUUUAAGGAAAUGGUAAAAUUUAGAAAACAGUCAAAGUAAAUUGGACCAUUACAAAGACUGAUUUUGACCAUUCCUAGUAAGGAAUCAUUGAAGUCUAGAAACCUAGAGUCCCUAAGACAAAGGAGUGGAGAUGUAUCUAAACCUUCUCGUGAAAGAGGUUUAGCUGCUAUUUAGACUAGGCUGAAAUGGAGGUAAUCGUACUUACACUUACAUAUUUUGAUAGUCCUGGGUUGAGAAGCUUGAUAUCCUCAUGAUCUGAUUUAAGAGAGAUAGUUUGUUCGAUAGUGAAAUAUGGUAGUCACUUGUUAGAGACCGCCAUCUGGAGGGAGAUUUGUAAAUUUGGUCUUGAGGAUGCCUGGGAAUUUUCCAGUCACCAAUUGAUUGCUGCAAAUAAGAGAAACUAAUCUCUUCCUUGAGUUUUGAACUUGGAGAAUUGUAGGAUGUUGAAGCAGACAAAGAGGAUGAAGAGUUCUUAGAAGUAGAAGAGAAGGGACGACGGAAAGCCAUAGAAGAAUUUAAAAAAUAAACAAUUAAUAACAACAAUAUUAACUUAUAAGCUUCCUAACCUUGGAUCAAGAGACUAUUGAGUUCCAUAAAGAAAAAUAUUCAAGUACUUAAUUCAAUAUUACAUGGAAGAGUCAAAUUGGGUAAUUAAAUUAGUGAAAUCUUGUCUCAAUACUAUAUGUUUUAGCUAGAUUCAUUUUAUCUAAAAGGUUCAUUAGUCGGAUAGUCCAAAGGUUAUAAAUAACCAUCUGUAAGUCUCUAAGUCUCCACCUGAUAUCCAGCCAUAAAUGCUUAGGUUAAACAACCUAUAGUGUAGAUCUGAAAGAUCAGGGCACUAUCUUCAAAAUAAUCCUUUUAUAAAAUAGAUCUCUUUAAGUCUAAUAGAUUAAGUCAAGUUUUAUCAUUCAUAUUAAAGAUUAGACAGUAGUAUAUAAUAGCAAGUUAAAAAAAGAAUAAUAAUCUUUACUUCCCCCAUGGCUCUGAUACCAAGUAUAUAUAUAUUUCUAACAAAAAAUAAUAAAAUAUUUUUCUAAAAAUUAUUUAUUAAAUUUUGUGACAAAUCAAACUAAAACGAGAUCGACGGGGAGUAAUGAGUGAGAUCAUAUGACAUGUAGUAACAUUUGGACUUAAUAGUUUUGGUCUAUUCCCACCUACUAGAGUACUAUCAACCAUCACUUUUAUCAUUGUUUACACGAUUCAGCGCGUGACAGUUAGAUGUAUUGGAUAAUGGUCCAUGAAGAUUAAAAAUAGACCAGAUAUAAUGGUAGUAGAAGUGGUGUUGGCUUAAACAUAUGAGUGUAUCGGUUAAAUUGUUUUCGUCCCCUGAAAGUCUGCACCUGUGAUUGUUGCUGGUUAGGUUUUGUAUUUCAGAUUAAGGCUAGUAAACUUUCAAUUACACGCCAAGAUAAGUUUCAGAGUAUGCAUUUUCAAAAAAUCCACGACGCCCUUUAGCAAUUACACAGUUGUACAUGUAACGAAAAUGACAUGCAGAUCGAUAUGAAUCAUUAUGAGGAAUGAAAUUGACGCAAGACGUUUAUUACGGUAUAAAUACAUUCUUAUCCCUUAUUUGUAUCCCAUUAUAAUUUUCAUGAUUCACUUGCCAUUAUUUUUAAGUUUUCGAAGAAUUCGCAACGCUCUUCUGCAGUUACAUAGUUAUACAAGUAACGAAAAUGACUUGUAGCUAUGAAUCAUUAUGAUGAAUGAAAUUGAUGCAAGACGUUUAUUAGGGUUUAAAUACAUUCUUAUUCCUUAUUUGUGUCCUAUCAGAGUUUUCAUUAUUCACUUGCCAUUAUGUUGAGGUUUUUGAAGAAUCUGGGAUGCACUUCAGCAGUUACAUAGCUGUAUAUGUAACGAAAAUAACAUGCAGUUAUGAAUCAUUAUGGGUAAUGAAAUUGAUGCAAGACGUGUAUUAGGGUUUAAAUACAUUCUUAUCGCUUAUUUGUAUCCCAUCGCAAUUUUCAUUAUUCAUUUGCCAUUAUUUUGAAGAAUCCACGAUGCUCUUAAGGAGCUACAUAGUCAUCCACAUAACGAAAAUGACUUGCAGAUAUGAAUCAUUAUGACGAACAAAAUUGACGCAACAGGUUUAUUAGGGCUUAAAUACAUUCUUAUUCCUUACUAAUAUUAUUGUUUGGUCAUCUCAAUUUACAAUGCUUGCCCUUUAAUUAUCACAUUAAGCCAACGAUUUAGGGCAAAUAAUUAUUCUAUAAAAUGAUACAUAUGAAUAGUAUAUUUUCUAAUGACAUCCUAGUUAAACAUAUCAUUAAAUUUUCAUUUCAAUAUGUAACUAUCAAUUCAUAAAAUCAAUAUCAAUUUUUUUAAUAAGUUAAUUUAAACAUGUUCUUAACUUAGAUGUAAACAAAACUAGGUGUAUUAAAUUAGUAGAGGAAUAGUAUAUGUGGCAACAAGGUCCAUUAUAGUCAAAAAUUUUAUUAUAUUAAUUUUUUAUUAGUCAAACCUAUUAUUUUCUCUUAAUAAAUGAUCAAUUAAUCACAUUAAUUAUCAUCUUUAACCAGCGUGUCAAAACACCGUUUCUUAUUCCCCGAGUCCUCAAUACCACUACCAUUACCACUUCCUCCUUUGUCUGUUCCCAUCAACAAUUAAGAUAAUCAUCCCGCAUUCACAUAAGAGAUUAAUUUGCUCUGAUACUAGUGAAUGCAAUGCUAAAUUCAUUAAAAUGUUGAAUUUUAAUAUGUGAUGUAAAUUUAUAUCCAAAUUAGAAAUCAUAACAAAUAGUGAAUUUGAACUUCAUAAUUCAUCGCCAUAUAACAAGAGAAAUUAUAUUUUUUAAAGAUCAAAUUUUUAAUAUUUACAUAAGAAAAUGAAUAAUACAUCUUUGAUUUUCAUCAUAAUUAUCAUAAUUAAGUCAUAAUUAUAACUCAAAAAUUAAUUCUAAACAUUACUUAGCUUUAAUACCAAGGUAUUAUUUAUAUAAUCUGCUUGUCAAAUGGAGUAUGUGUAAUUUAUAACUAGUUAAUCCAAUCAACUUGUUAACUUUAGGUGUAAACAAAUUAAGUGCACUAAUUUGGUGGAUUAUGAUCUACGUGGCAACAAGAUCCAUAAUAAUUGUCAAAACAAAAUUAUUUUUUUUCAGUUAAACAUAAUCUUUUCUCUUAGUAAAUGUGCAAUUAUCCAUACACUUAUAACCUACACGUGUUGCAUUGUCGUCACAACCAAUACUUUUUCGUUUGUCAAGUUUUCAUCACAUGCACGAAAAUUACGUACACGUGUAGCUCAGACAGAUUAUGUUUCCAAGUUUGAAAUCUUUUUGUUCUCCUUCUGCCGUCACCAUCACCACCACCAGUACCACUUCCUCCUCCAUCAAGUUCCCAUCACAUCCAAAACAACUUGCACAUACAGUUCUAGCCAAUUAUUCGAAUCUUUUUUCAAUUCUUCCGACCUUUUCACAUCACACAAAAUUCAAAAAAAUACCUUCGAAAGGCCAUAAAAUUCUGAAAAUUAUAAUUAUAAAAAAUAGCAAAUUCAAACUAAUAAUUUGAUACCAUUAAAACUCAGAUCGCAUACAUAUAGCACUCAAACAUCUUAGAAAAAAAAAAACAACCCUAAAGAUUUAUUUAAUUUUUCGAUUUUGCUUUCAAGAUCAAAUUUUUCUUCGACAUUAACAUUUCUUCCCCCAUAUAUAUACUAGUACUGCUAAUAUUUCUCUUAUCAUCCUUCUUUUUUUUUUAACUCUAUCCUAGUUACUGAAAAUUAAAAGGAGGAUUACACUAAUUAAACAAGAUUACAACUAAUUAAGUAAAAGACAUUUCAAUAAACCAUGCAAAUCCUCCGAUCAUCAACUUCUGCAAUUUCACUUGUUCUUGGGCACCGGUGGAAAAUUGAGCUCGAUCUGAAUGUCCUUAGUAUCGUUACCCAUAAAAUCAACCACUGAUGAAGAAUCCGACUCGCUGAGAUUUCCUGCAUCGGAACCCAUGAUUAUGGAUCCGAAUCUGUUAGUAUGAAACAUUUCACCACGAUCAAGACCACCAUGACCACGACCAUGAGCAUCCAGAUGAUUCUGAGUCUGGGAGGAAAAUAACUUACUUCCUAGACAAUACGAGGACCUGCCAAGGGUUAGAUCCAAUAGGGGAUAUGAUGAUUCAACAAUCACCAGUUCCUCUGGAACCUCCACCUUCUUUAUCUUAGUCUUCGCGGUAGAUGAUUCAACAGUACUCACAUCACUGGGAAGUUUGUCUUCGCCUUAACACCUCGAAACUCUAUGGCUGCUGCAUCAUACGCCAUCGCUGCCUCCACUGCUGUAUCAAAUGUACCUAACCAUACUUGGCAUUUCCUAUGUGGAUCUUUUAUCUCCGCUGUGUAUUUCCCCCAUGGCCUCUUUCUUACUCCACGGUAAUGCACCUCCUUUUCUAUCGUUGUUUCUGUUGCCGCCACUGUACGUCUAAUGCCUAUGUGCCAUUUUUUGGGGAGGGGGCAUAGUAAUGUGUUUUUUUUUUAGUGUGAUAUAAAGUGAUUUGAAGAAGUCAUAAGGAUGAGCGGAAGUAUAGGGAGGAAAGAGCUGCUUAAAUAGGAAAGUGGCGAAGGAAGAAAAUAAAAAGUUCGAAGGAAGAAAAUAAAAACUUAGUCAACAGAGGGAGUGUUUGACUUGACUGAUGUAAUUGUGGGUCCACACAUAUAUAUAUACAUACAUACUUGGCUCUAAUACCAAGCAUUUAUGGCUGGAUUGCCAGUGGAGACUUAACUUAUAGAUGGUUAUUCAUAACCUUUGGACUAUCCUACUAAUGAACCUUUUAGAUAAAAUGGAUCUAGCUAAAAUAUAUGAUAUUGAGGUAAGAUUUCAGUAAUUUAAUUACCUCUGUCUCUUCCAUAUAAUAUUGAGUUAAGUACUUGAAUAUUUUUCUUUAUGGAACCCAAUCGUCUCUUAAUCCAAGAAUAGGAAGCUUUUCAGUUAUUAUUGUCGUUAUUAAUUGUUUAUUGUCUAAAUUCUUCUAUGGCUUUUCAUCGUCCAUUCUCUUCUAAGAACUCUUCUUUAUCUUCAUCCGCUUCAACUUCCUACAAUUCUCCAAGUUCAAAACUCAAGGAAGAGAUUAGUUUCUCUAAUUUGUAGCAAUCAAUUAUGAUUGGCAAAUACCCUGGCAUUCUCAAGACCAAACUUACAAAGCUCCGUUCAGAUGGCGGUCUCUAACAAGUAACUACCAUAUUUCCACUGUCGAACAAACUAUCCCUCUUGAAUCAGAUCAUGAGGAUAUCAAGCUUCUUAACUCCAGGACUAACGAAAGAUGUAAGCGUAAGUACGAUUACAUCCUUACCAGAUUUUCUUACCAGGGAAUUCUUGCAGGGAAGAUAAGAUGCUCUGAAAAAAGAAAGAAGAACCUCCACCUCCACAAAUUUUGACCCUUCCAUCUCCAGAAGAGACCACCAAAAAUGUUGUUAUGCCACAGCAAAAAACUUCAGUUGCGCCAAAGCAACUACCAAAUGUAGUAGCUGACAUAAAUCAGCCAAGAUAUCAACCCCCAGUUGAUUAUGUCAUGCCGGGAUUACCACAAUCUUUCAUAAUGCAAUCAAGUACAAGUCUAAUUUCAAUGUUUAACACCAACAAAUAAGCUGAUUUACUCAACGAAGGAGACGAAGAGACUCAAUUAGCUCAAAUAGUGUUUGUUCCCUGAACAGAAGAAAAUUUUAAACAAUGGCGACUCCUCAUAGAGGGAAGUAAAGAUUAUUAUUCUUGUUUUUAACUUGCUAUUAUAUGGUACUAUCAAAUCUUUAAUAUGAAUGGUGAAACUUGACUUAACUUCAAUUUCUGUCAAUUUCUCGAUCAAAUUCUUAAUAAAACUCAACUUCAACGAUUAUUAGGAUGUGUUAAUUAUAUAGAAGAUUUUAUUCCGGGCUCAAAAAUCUGUUGAAACCUCUCCACGGUAGGUUGAAAAAGCCUCCUCCUUCAUGGACUCAAAUUCAUACCAAUGUAGUUAAAGAAAUCAAAUUAAAGGCAGAAGACCUCCCUUGCAUAUCUCUCCUCGAUCCCUCUGCAUUCAAAAUAGUUGAAACAGAUGCAUCAGACAUAGUCUAUGGUGGCAUUUUAAAACAAAAGAAACAUGACAAAGAAUAGUUACAUUUGCAUCCAAAAAUUGGAAUAAAGCUCAGCAAAAUUAUCCUACUAUCAAAAAAGAAAUUUUAGCAACUAUGUUAUGCAUUUCGAAAUUUCAAGCUGAUUUGUUAAAUCAAGUUUUUUUUACUAAGGAUUGAUUGUAAAACGGCGAAAUCUGUUUUGCAAAAAGAUGUAAAGAACCUUUCCUCUAAACAUAUAUUUGCUAGAUGGCAACACAUUUUAUCUGUUUUAUAUUUUGAUAUUGAAUAUAUCAAAGGGAGCUCUAACUCUAUACCAGAUUUUCUUACCAGAAAAUUCUAGCAGGGAAGAUAAGAUGCCCAGAAAAAAUAACGAAGAACCUCCACCUCCACAAAUUCCAGCUCUUCCAUCUCCCGAAGAGACCUCCAAAAAAGCUGUUACACCAAAACAAAAAACAUCAGUUGCACCAAAGCAACUUCCAAAUAUAGUAGCUGACACAAAUCAACCAAUAUAUCAAACCUCAGCUGAUUAUGCUAUGCCAGGAUUACCAUAAUCUUUCAUAAUGCAAUAAAUUACAAAUCCAAUUUUAAUUUUCAACACCAAGAAAUGGGCUGAUUUGGUCGACGAAGAAUACGAAGAGACUCAAUCAGCUCAAACAGUGUCCAUCCCCUGGACAAAAGAAAACUUUAAACAAUGGUGCCUACUUAUGGGUCUUAAAGAUCUACCCAGCAUGUCUGGUGCCAACAGAAGGGAUUAUUUGAGAGAUUUUCAGAUCUUUCAAAACAUGUGUUCGCAAACGGAGGCUUCAAGCCACACAUCAUCUCAUUUUGUGGUUGCUAAGAGAACCAUAAAAAAUCCAGUGGAUGUAGAAAAACCCAUUAAUUUUUCCUUUAACUUUCCACAAAAUGAUUCGAAUAUUUGUCCUUCACAAACUAAAACAAUUUCCUCACCUAACCCCCAAUCAAUUUCUUCAAGUAAAGGAUCCUCCUCAAAUGAUCCGACAUAUUUAAAAAAUGAUAGUGUUUUACCAAUAAUCCAAAUUAAAGUUGAGUAUUGGCACUCCAACCUCCAAGAGGUAGCUAAGAAAAUACUUCGCCCUACAACAAAUUUUAUCCAAAAAACUCCUACCCAUACCUAGAAGUUUUAUGAAUUCAUACUAAAAGACACCAAAUCCAGUUUACUCAAACCCAACAAAGACAAAUUAACCCAGUCUUAUGUUACCCAUACCACAGUGUAGAUUAACAAAAUCAUCUUUCCAUAAGAGUGGGGUACGCAUCCUACAAAAUAUCGAAAGCUUACUGAGGCUUUUGAACUCCAAUAUUAUAAUUAUUUUGAUUAUCAAAGAGCGUGGAUGAAUGCAUUCACAUUCCAAAAUAAAACUAACCAACAUUCUUGAUUUUUACUCUAGGAAAAACAACUAGCUUCAGAAUUGUCCAGUGGUUUCUACACCAGUGGUGGCCAAUUUUUGGCCACACCUUUGAGAUCCUCCCCCCCAAUCUGAGAAGGAUACGAAUAUUUUACCCAAAGAUUUCAUAAUGACCAUCAAAUUUCUUUGCUUUUAUAGUUUUUCCACAAGUUUCAUAUUCUUUGGAUAUUCCAUGGAAAUUCACUUUUCAUAAACCAGAGGGGCACAAAUGACUUCCAUGGUUAGCCCUCUAGGGCUAUUGCAAAUGAUACAAAAGUUAGGACCCGACGGAAGAUUACGUAUCGGAAGUAGAAAAGUUGUAUCAGAUACCAAGUACACGGAUGUGAACCCCCUAAAAUAUAGAGGGAAAUACGGGAAAAGAGGAUAAGGAAAUGAAGCAAGUUAUUAAUGACACGAUAAAUUAGGCGGCAGGACCGACCAUAUGUUAAUGAUGCAACUAAUUAAAUAAAAUAAAGAAAGAACACAAAAUAUGAAAAUUGAAUUUUGAUAUUAAUAUCAAAAUAAAUUUGAAGAUUAUAAAUAGAGAGAGAGAAAACUCUAGCUAAGUAUUCUAGAGAGAGCUUCUUCCAAAGAAAAUAAUCUGUUCUCCUCAAGAAGAGGAAUGGGCUAUUUAUAGCCAAAAUAUGCUAUAGUAAGAGUGCUACAAUAGCACUUUUAAUUAUUGCUACAGUGUUGCUACAAUAAUCUACAAUAACAUCCACCAUAAUUGAGCUACAGUAACAUUAACUAUAAUUUUUCAGCAAUUGGUUGCUGAUGUCAUGCAUGACAUUAAUGUUUUGAUGAGUCCUUGAUGAUGUCAAUUUGAUGUCGAAUUGACUGAAUAUCUUUUUCAUCAUCCGUGUUUGAUUUUUGUAGUUGAAAAUUGAUUGUUCGAAAUUUCAGCUUUAAUUUGUUGGAGAUUUUUUUUCAUUUAUUGAAUGAAAUCUCCUCGGCUACCUGACUUAGCCAAUUGUGUGGCCGCAAUUUAUUUUGGUUGUAGAAAUGAGAUUUGGGCGGCGUCUGUUAAGGUCAAACAUCCAGGAUUGCGUAGGAACCACUUUUCUACUUUUGGUACGUAAGCUUUCGUCGGAUCCCAAUUCUUGUACCAUUUGCAAUAGCCCUGGAGGGCUAACAUGGAAGUCCUUUGUGCCACUCUGGUUUAUGAAAGGCAAAAUUCCAUGAAAUAUCCAAGGAAUAUGGAAACUGUGGGAAAUUUGUAAACGCAAAGGAAUUUGAUGAUCAUCAUAAAAUCUUUGGGUAUAAUAUUCGUAUCCUUUUCGGACUAGGGGAGGAAGGAUCUCAAAGGUAUGGCCAAAAAUUGGCCACCAUUGGUGUGGAAACCACUGGAGGAAUUCUAAAGCUAGUUGCUUUCCCCAAAGUACAAACCAAGAAUGUUUGUUAGAUUUAUUUUGGAAGGUAAAUGCAUUCAUCCACACUCUUUGAUAAGCAAAAUAAUUAUAAUAUUAGGGAUCAAAAGCCUCAGUAAGCUUUCGAUAUUUUGCAGGAUGCGUACCCUACUCUUUUGGUGAGAUGAUUUUGUUAAUCUACACCGUGGUAUGGGUAACAUAAGACUGAGUUUGUUUGUCUUUGUGGGGUUUAAACAAAUAGGUUUUGGUGUCUAUUAGUAUGAAUUCAUAAAACUUCUGGGUAUGGGCAGGAUUUUUUUGGAUAAAAUUUGCUGUCGGGCUAAGUAUUUGCUUAGCUACCUCUUGGAGGUUGGAGUGCCAAUGUUCAACUUCAAUUUAGAUUAUUGAUAAAACACUAUCAUUUUUGAAAUAUGUUGGAUCAUCUGAGGAGGAUCCUUUACUGGAUGAAAUGGUCUGUGGGGUAGGUGUGGACAUUAUUUUAGUUUGUACAGGACAAAUAUUUGAAUCAUUUUGUGGAAAGUUAAAAGGAAAAAUUAACGGGGUUUUCUACCUCCACUGGAUUUUUUAUGGUUCCCUUAGCAACCACAGAAUUAGAUGAUGUGUGGCUUGAGGCCUCCACUUGCGAACACAUGUUUUGGAAGAUCUGAAAAUCUCUCAGAUAAUCCCUUCUGUUGUCACAUGACAUGCUGGGUAGAUCUUUAAAACCCAUAAGUAGGCGCCAUUAUUUAAAAUUUUCUUCUUUCCGAAGGACAGACAUUGUUUGAGAUAAUUAAGUCUCUUCUUCUUCUUCGUCAGCCAAAUCAACACAUUUCUUGGUGUUCGAAAUUGAAAUUGGAUUUGUACUUGAUUGCAUUAUGAAAAAUUAUGGUAAUCCCGGCGUGCCAUAAUCAGCUGAGGUUUGAUAUCUUGGCUAAUUUGUGUCAGCUACUACAUUUGGAAGUUGCUUUAGUGCAACUGAAGUUUUUUGCUGUGGUGUAACAACUUUUUUGGUGGUCUCUUCUAGAGAUGGAAGGGCCAGAAUUUGUGGAGGUGGAGGUUUUUUUUUUCUAGGCAUCUUAUCUUCCCUAAAAAAUUCCCUGUUAAGAAAAUCUGGUAUAGAGUUGGAGCUCCCUUUGAUAUAUUCAAUAUCAAAAUAAAAAAUAGAUAAAAUUGCUUGCAAUCUAGCAAAUAUAUGUUUAUAGGAAAGGUUUUAUACAUCUUUUUGUAAAAUAGAUUUAUCCGCUUUACAAUCAAUCCUUGUUAAAUUUGUUUGAUUUAACAAGUCAGCUUGAAAUUUGGAAAUGCAUAACACAGUUUCUAAAAUUUCUUUUUUGAUAGUAGGAUAAUUUUGCUGAGCUUUAUUCCAAUGUUUGGAUGCAAAUGGAACUAUAUAUUCUUUAUCAUAUUUCUUUUUUUUAAAUAGAACCAUAGCCUAUGUAUGAUGCAUCUGUUUCAACUAUUUUGAAUGCAGAGGGAUCGGGGAGGGAUAGGCAAGGGAGGUGUUUUGCCUGUAAUUUGAUUUCUUUGACUACAUUGCUAUGAAUUAGAGUCCAUGGAGGAGGAGGCUUUUUCAACCUACCGUGGAGAGGUUUCAACAGAUUGUUGAGCCCGGGAAUAAAAUUUAUGAUAUUAUUAACGCAUCCUAAAAAUUGUUGAAGUUGAGUUUUAUAUAGAAUUUGAUCGAAAAAUUUGUUAGCGAAUUGGAUGGACCUUUGAAUUGGGGUAAUAGUACCAUUACAAAUUUUUUGGCCGAGGAAUCUGAUAUCAACCUGAAAAAGACUAUACUUAGUUUUGAACAAAACUAAGCCAUUCUCUUUGAUGAUAUUAAAGAACACACGUAAAUAUUUAAAAUGUUGAUCAAUGCUGGUGGAAAACACUAAAACAUCAUCAAUAUACACGAGAAUGAAUUUUGAAAAAGGAUUAAAAAUGUCAUUCAUUAUUUUUUGAAAUUCGAAAGGAGCAUUUUUUAAGACAAAAGGCAUUACGUUCUAUUCAUAUUUCCCAAAUGGUACUGUAAAAGUAGUUAUAUAACGAUCUCUUGGAUCAAUUUGGAUUUUCCAAAAUCCUGAUUUUAGAUCAAACAUGGAAAAAAUUGUAGCAACAUAAAGCCGUUGGAGAAGAUCCUUUUUAUUAGGAAUAGGAUAUCAAUCCAUCUGAGGAUGGAAUUGAUAGUUUUGUAGUUGAUAAACAAACGAGGGGCUCCUCGUUCGAUUUUGGAACUUUUACUAACAUAGAAGGCGGCACAACUCCAAGGAGAUUUACUUGGUGAUAUGAUCUAUUUUUGGAGAAGAUCAUUGAUUUCUGUCUGACAAUGGAUUGUCAACUCAUGAUUUAUUUGAAUUGGAUGAGCUUUGUUAGCAAUGGUUUUUUCAUCAAAGUAAGGCUCGUAAGGAAUCCUGACCAUAUGAUUUUUGCAAUUCCAAAAUGUUGUGGGCAGGUCAGCGCAAAGCUCUUUUUCAAUCUUUAUUUCUAAGGACCUGACCUUAAAUUAAAGAGAAGGUUCCUGAAGUUGUUUCUCCAGUCUUCAGAAUGCAAUUUCUUCUUUGAGAAAAUUACUGUGAACCUCUUUGUUUUUUAGAGAGGAUAAAAUUUUCUGAAUAGGCAGUUUGUCAAGUGGGAUAAACAUAUUGUUGGCCUCAAUAGUUAUUCCCAUAUGAGUAACCUUGAAAGGAAUUAAAGUUUCAAUAAAGAGGGUGCCUAGUAUUACAGGACUGAUUAUAUCCUUUACUGGAACAAAGGAAGUAGAGGAUGACAAAAGUGAAUUUGCCAGGGAAUUUUGUAUUUCGACAUCAGAAAGUUUGGAACUUAUUCUUAGUUUACUAUCAUUUUCAGCCCUAAGGGAUUCCGUAGAUUUUUUGAAGUACUUAGUAGGGAUAAGUCCUUCUUGGACACAAUUGAAGUCUGCACUUGUAUCAAACAAGGCAAUGAUAUCUAGGACAAAUGAUUUGUUGAUAACCAAGGUUAUCCAAGUGUGCUAUCUUCUGAUGGUAAUCCUUGAAAUGUAUUGAACAAGGAAAUCUCUCUGUUUAAUAUUCCAAUCCAAUGGGUUAGUGACGUCUACCAGCUGAGACUGUUUAGCCUUCGUAGAGAAUUUGUUGGAGGACAAGGAGAUCUAAGUCUUGUCUUGCUUUGAUUUGUCUAACUUCCUUUUUAAGGAGUACUAUCUCAGAUUGGAGGUCUUGAAUAGUUCCUACCCAGGUUUACUAGAAGGAAACCGCUUCAGGAUGUUAGUGAUAUUGUAAGUAUUUGUAAUCUAGGGAUGAGAAAAUACACUAGAUGAAAAUGUAGAAGGCUGGUCUAGGGCCUUUUUGAAUUGGUCUAAAUAAUAUUUCUUUUGAUAGAAAUUUUGUAAAUUGCUACUUAUGUCUAAGAGGAGAUCUUGUUCUUUUGUUAGAACGUUAAUCUUUUGUUGGUAUUCUUGACCAGACUAGGAAGAUUCCAAGUCAUUAUUUUAGAUUUGGUUGAAUUCCUGAUCAAAUUCGUCAUUAGCACUAUCUGAAUCUCCGCUUUCUUCUAAUAAGAGGUGUCGGAUUUGGCUAAGGACAGAAUCAUCAAAGUUGAGUGUCACACCCCUUUUUUAACUCCAAAAAGAUUAAUUUUACAUUCAAAAGGGUUUUAUUAUUAAAGUGAAAAAAAUUAAGAUUUGUUUCGAAAAAAUAUUAUUUACACAUUUUUUAUUUCAGAGUCGCCACUUAGCAUAAUUCGGUGUGCCAAGUCACCUUUGGAAAAUCCUUGUUGAAAUGAUUUGACUCUUUAAAACUAGUUUGCGAACAAUGAUUCUGGCUAAGGAAUUCUGUUGACCGAGGGGAAGGUGUUAGGCACCCCUCAAUCCCGUGAUUUGACCUUGGUCGCUUGGUGGAGCAUAUCGGCUAAUUUGACAUUACAAAUGUAUAAACCACGCAAAACAAUCAAUCAAACAAACAAAACAAAACAAGUCCAAAAUAUAGUGUUCAGUCCAAUUAUACAGUCCAAAAUAAAAAUGCGAAAAAUCUAAAUCCUAUUCUUAGCUAAUCCUAAUACUACGCUCCAUUGCCUUACCCGAUGCCUUAGGACUUGAUCACGAGCCUCCUUUGCGUACAUGAUACUUUGGGGCAUUCCCCGGUGAAUAAGUCAAUUCCCUAGGGGCAUUCCCUAGCAAAUGAAUACAAUUUCAAUUUCAUGAGAUAAACUAGAAAAGUAUUCAACAUAUUCAACAUUCCACUCAUUCAAUCCAGCAUCAUUCCUAAAUUCGCCUACCCGAACUUAAACUUUUGCCUAUUCAUUCGAUGGCGUAAUCAUGAUACUAUCACAUUCAACCUUCGAUUUGUUUCAAAAUAACCAACGACAAUAAAUCAAGACUAAACAAUAUUCACUUUUAUCAAUUCCUAUCAUGCAACCCCAUAUAUUCCUUUUUAACACCAAAUUUCAACAAAUUCAAGAUUACUAUUUCAACAAUACACACCCAUCUAUUCAAUGAAGUAGAGCAAAACAAAUCAAUAUCAUCGAAUAUUCAGCCAAAUCUCACACAAAUUAAACAUAUAUGACGAACUAAAAUGACAGGAGAUAGAAUUUGACCUUUCGAUGAUUGAUUUUCAUCGAUAAUAAUAUUUAAGAAAAUCCGGACUUGUAACCUCGAAUAAAAUAACCUCAACCGCAAGAAUCCAACUCAGUAUAGAAGAAUUUGAAAUCCCAAAGCUGAUCGAGACGGAUGGAAAAACUCAGAUCCCAGAACAGGAACAAGAACCGAUGAAUCCUAAAGCCCGAUUUCAGCGAGGAAACCCAGAACUCCAAUAUUCGAUGGAAAAUCGAAAAGAAAAUAGUGUAGCCUGAGCUCCGGUGAGCUAUCAGUGACCAAAUAUCAAUGGAAAUAGGGCAAAUUCCAGUGAGACCUCAGUGUUUUCAAACCAAAACCGCCAGUUUCACUGUUUCUCAUUGAAUCUCUGUCGAUCGCCCUCCAUUAUCUCAUUUUCCCUCUAAUACAUGGGGAAAAUGGAGCUCUCUGUACUAUCCAUUUUCAUGGUGUGUGAUUGUGAAAUUUGUGUGUGAAUAUGGCUUCUGUGUAUUGUCGAUCCAAGAAGAGAAAAGAAAAAUGGAUGAUGGAUGAUGAUCUUUGGUGGAAUCGUGAAUGGGAACCCCUUUUCUUGUUUUUGUUAUAAGGUGUUAUUCCUAUCCCUCUCUGAUUUGUGAGAUGUAUGUUCAUAUAUCCCCCUUUUUUUAAUUGUUAUGGAAAAUAAAAGAUAAGAAAAAUAUGAGUGGGGUGAGGGGUGGGGUGGGUGGGUAGGGGUAUGGGGUGGGGUAGCUUGUUAGGAUGAGGUGUAAAGUUGAUUAGCAAAAGGUUGUUAUUUUUUUGUAUUUUUGUGGGGUAUGAUCACAUGGAUGAGGACACGUGGUAAGGUGAGCUAAAACGGUUAAAAUCAAUGUUGGGAGGGACAAAAUUAGGUGUCUACAGCAUGCCCCCUUUGAAUGUAAACAUGAAGUGUUUUCAGAUAAAGAAGUAGAUAACGAGACAAAAUUUUGUCCCGACCAUUAUUCAACAUGAAUGAAAUAGAAGGAAGGAGGGAACAAAGUCUUGACUUUGGACGUCAUACUCAUCCCUAGUUAUGAGGGAAUCAAGUCACAAGUAUCCCUAAGGACUGAAAGAAGAGGGACUCUACCGAGUUGGAGAGUCGAGCGAGGUUCUGUCAAGGUUCCAGUCCGCAGCUCUGUUAUUUCAUCAAAAAUAAAAAUUAUAAGUUAAAACAUAAAUGAAAUUUCAAAAUCCUAUCUAUGCAACUUUUUUUGGACUCUUGACUUGAGUUUCUUCACCCUAUUCUUCAGGCGGGCUCCUGACUUGCAAUUUUUUAACUUGUUGCUUGGCUGUCAAUUCCUUCGCCUUGUUGCUUGACUUUCAAUUUCUUCACCCGGUUCUCCAGGAGAGCUCGCGACUUGCAAUUUCAUCAACUUCCAAUUUCAUCACCCUAUUCUUCAGGCGGGCUCCUGACUUGCAAUUUUUUAACUUGUUGCUUGGCUGUCAAUUCCUUCGCCUUGUUGCUUGACUUUCAAUUUCUUCACCCGGUUCUCCAGGAGAGCUCGCGACUUGCAAUUUCAUCAACUUCCAAUUUCAUCACCCUAUUCUUCAGGCGGGCUCCUGACUUACAAUUUUCUCAACUUCCAAUUUUAUCACCCUGUUCUUCAGGUGGGCUUCUGAAAACAAAAUUAAAACUAGAACGAAAAUUAUCCUAAACCAAGAUUAAGAUAAAGAAAGAUUUCUUUUUUCUGAAUGUAAUGUCCCAUUUUUUCAGAGGGUCCAGAACAAAAGGUAAAGUCCCAUUUUUCAGGAGGGUCCUGAACAGAAAGUAAAGCCCAUUUUUUAGGAGGGACCAGAACAGAAAGUAAAAUUCCAAUUUUCAGGAGGGUCCUAAACAGAAAGUAAAUCUCAUUUUCCCGGAGGGUCCUGAACGGAAAGUAUGAUCCCAUUUUCCAGGAGGGUCCUGAACGGAAAGUAUGAUCCCAUUUUCUAGGAGGGUCCUGAACGGAAAGUAUAAUCCCAUUUUUCAGGAGGGUCCUGAACGGAAAGUAUAAUCCCAUUUUCAAGAGGGUCUUGAACGGAAAGUAAAAUCCCAUUUUCCAGGAGUGUCCUGAACAGAAAGUAAAAUCCCAUUUUUCAGGAGGGUCCUUAAUAGAAAGUAAAAUCUCAUUUUCCAGGAGGGUCCUGAACAGGAAGUAAAAUCCCAUUUUCCAGGAGGGUCCUGAACAGGAAGUAAAAUCCCAUUUUCCAGGAGGGUCCUGAACAAAAAAGUAAAUUCCCAUUUUCCAUAAGGGUCCUGAACAGAAAGUAAAAUCCCAUUUUUUUAAAGGGUCCUGAACAGAAAGUAAAAUCCCAUUUUCCAGGAGGGUCCUGGACAGAAAGUAAAAUCCCAUUUUCCAGGAGGGUCCUGAACAGAAAGUAAAAUCCCAUUUUCCAGGAGGGUCCUAAACAGAAAGUAAAAUUCCAUUUUCCAGAAGGGUCCUGAGCAGCAAGUAAAAUCCCAUUUUACAGGAGGGUCCUGAGCAUGAUGUAAAUUUUCAUUUUCUAGGAGGGUCUUGAACAUAAAAUAAAUUCCCAUUUUCCAGAAGGGUCCUGAACAGUAAAUAAAUUCCAUGGAUGUGCAUUUCCAAUGGUAGCUAAAUUAAGUGAAGCAAAUUUUCCCCUGUUUCAAAAAGAAAAUUUGUUAGUUAAAAACUUAGUGGUGGCUUGCGGCACUUGGUUGUCCCGACACCUGCUCCGGUGUUCUUUCCCUUUCUUUUGUUUCAGAUUGCUGGCACUUGACCUUGCUUUGUUGUGUCAUUGAUCCAAACUCAAAUUAUUAAGAGUGACUCCGAAAUAAACACAGUAUUUCUGUUUUGUCAUGCUUCUCAGAUAAACCCUUUAAACCUUGGUAUUUCCUUGAGUUCCCAAGCUUUUCUGUUGACAAAACUUUCUGCAUGCCUUAUUCGGCUCACAAUCAUAUCUCUUUCAUAUGCUAGACUUGUCUUGCUUUGUGCAAUUGAAGAAGCUGGUAGCCUGUUUUGAAAUCUUUUCUCACUUGUUUUGUCAUGGACUUGACUCAAAGACAGGAGGAAAAUGACAAUGAUUUUUUUUUAUUAUUUGGAUAACUGACUCAAGAAAAUAAAAAUAUAACUAAAGAGAAGAAAAAAAACGACAAUGAAUGUCCCCAUUGAAAAAGAUGAAAGAAAAGUUUAUCUAAAAAUGACAGUCAACUCUAAUGAUUAUAACAUGCAUAUCGGAUUAGACUGCCUGAUCUUUCCAUCCAAAACUUUCUACCAAUUAUUGUUGAGUGAAUGACCUCGAAAUUGAGUUGCUUCCUUAGGUCAGUUGGAUUUAAGACCUCAUUCGGCUAGUGAUACCUUGAAGGAUUUUUACCAACAAGCCCCUCUCAUUUUCUCUUAGCUCAACAUCGCCUUAUGGUGCUCGUGAGCUUUUUUACCAAUGAGAUUCUCUUAUUUUCAUUUCUUUGAACUCACAGUCGUCUUACGGUGCCCGUGAGGAUUUUCACCGAUAAGACUCUCUCAUUUUUAUCUCUCUCAAUUUACCACCGACUUACGGUGCCCGUGAGGGUUUUUACCAAUAAGACUAUCUCAUUUUUAUUUCUCUCUUGAUUACUUAUGCUAUGGAAGACAAGUAGUUCCCAAAUGCAUCAUCAUAUCUCUUGCAUGCUUAGCCUUAGCAUUCUCAAAGAUUGAUCUGAAGGUCUUUCUUUGGUUGUAACUUGUAUUUUGGAUAGGGUUAAAAAGAAAGGAUGGCAUGAGACCCAAACAACACUUGAAGUGGGGUGGGACUUACAACUUUUGGAAUCAAUUCAAAUAAUGAGGAUUAACCCCUGCCCUAGUUUCUUUGGCUGGAUGACUCUAAAUUGUUUAUUUACUUGAACCAAUCCCAGAGUAGGGCCGACUACAUAUCUCACCGCCGAAAGAGGAGAAUCAGGUUACCCGUAGUUCUGGCAUCUUAUACUUUCACUUGAUUCUGGUCUCUUUUCUGUUUUAUUGACUCUUUUUCUCUUUGAAACUUUUCUGACUCUAUUUUUCUUGACACUUUCUCUUUGAAACUUUUCUGACUCUAUUUUUCUUGACUCUUUUUCUCUUUGAAACUUUUCCGACUCUAUUUUUUUGCUUGACACUUUUCUUUUGAGCUUUGCUGACUCUAUCUUGAUUCCAAAAGAGGUGUAUGAAAGAAAAUAACACUAAGACUCAAAUGGGGUAAACAAAGGAUGACAAAAUAUUUCGAUAGUGGAAUGAAAUGCCUUCGUCAUAUCAAUCCUUAAAGAUGCUAGUACAUAGCAUGCAAUGUGAAAGUGAAAGAUGAAGAUCAUUUGUGAUAAUUUUUAUAGUACUAACUUUAACUGAUCUUGUGCGACGCUACUUCUUUAGCAAACUCCACCAUUGUUGUACAUUCCUCAUAUCGAAUGACUCACGCUUUCGUGGAGCUGAUUUUCUGUUCCUUUUGAUGUAGGAUGACACAUCCACUACUUGACCAAAUUGAGACAUCUCUUUCAAUUGAUGACUAAGUUAUUCAUGUGAUUCUCAAAAUAAUUGCCUUAAUUUUCAGAAAAGGCUUCAACUUGUCACCAAAUAUCUCAGCACUCUACCUAUUUUCUCAGAUGCUCUCUUUUUCUAACUUUAACCCUCUGAUUCAAUGUUCAUGCUUAAACUAAAUUUUAAAAUCUGACUGAAAAUUCCGUUAGCAUGUCAUAUCACUAGAGUCAACAUAAAAUGUAAUGUGGAAAGAAAAUAAACAAAAACAUAUUUAAAACAUAAAGAAAAAAGGGGCACUCCAUUUAAUUAAAAUAAAAGAUAGAAAGGUUUAAACAUAACGACAAAGGAACAAAAUAAGAUAGAUCCCGAACUACAACCCUGAAAUAAUUCGGAUAAUAGAAAAGAAGACAAAACAAACUACCAAACCUCUUCCCAAUAGGGAGAGGGGUGACUUCUCAAUUGCUCAUCCUGACGACUUAGCCACUAGUUCGCAUAUCAACAUGACUAGAACUUUCCUCACUGUCAAUGUUCUGCACCAUAAUUGAUCUAUCUUGAAUCAUCUUUUCAAUUUCUCUUUUCAAAUCUCAACAAUCUUCAAUACUAUGACCCUGAGCAUCAGAAUGAUACGCACAUCGUAUAUUAGGAUCAAAAUUUCUUGAAUUCCGAUUAAGAGUGCACCCAAGAAGAGGAUUUAUCAUGCCCCAUUGUACCAAUCUCUGAAAUAAACUGGCAUACAACUCUCCAAUUGGUGUAAAACUAUCUCUCAAUUUCUGCCUCAUUUCAUUGUUUAACUUGGAUCGAACAUCGGGCCUAUAAGGGCUUUGAUAUGUUUUCAGAAUUGGAGUAUGACUUUGAGGAGUUGAACAUAUGGUUGUGCGCAAUAUACUAGAUAUGGAGGUGGAGAAAUAGAGUAUAAUGGAUUUCGGGAGUGAUUAUGGAGAGCUUGGGUAUGAAGUUGGGCUUGAGACUGACGGCAACGACGACGUCGUCUUCUUGAAUGUGUCCAUUCUCGAACUACAAUAGCAGUGUCAUCUUUCUCAUUCUUCUUUCCUCCAGGUUCCCUUAAAUGAUUGCAAUAUUGUCCCAAAUAUUUCACAAAUUCAUCAUGUCCAUCUUGCUUCCCAAGUUUUGAUAUCUCAAGGAUUGGAGGGCGGUUAACACUUGAAGACAUUCCCCAGUCUUUAUAUGAAACAUCUUCUUUACCCACGGGUCCUACGGAACUUGUCCUACCAUUUUUUGCACUCUUCAUUUUUCCAACAAUUUUUUCUAGCUCUUCUGGCAAGCUAGACUUCUUGUUAAGAAAUUUUGGUGUCCAAUUAACAUUGGUGUGGGCUCAGGAGUAUAGCAAUGAUCAUUGAGAGUAUUGAAAAAGUAUCUACUAGCAGAUUGGUGCAGCACAACUAUUGGAUUGAUAGCCAAAGUGGAAACCUCAAUAGAAGGUUGAGCAACAAAAACACAGGCAGUAUGUGGUGUUGUCAAUGUAGUAGGCUUAUACUGAGAAGCUAGAGGAAGAAUGACGGAAGCAUUGGGAUGCUUUUGGCUUGAAAGGAAUUCUAAUUCAUAUUGUAGUGCAUCAACAAAAAUAAGAAACUGACUUUGCGAUUUUGAUGGAAGGCUCAAGUUAUUUGCAGGGCCAAUCGUGGGGAAUGGAGAAGGAGCCCACUAGCCCAAGCUCAGUGCAUUUCAUUUAUUUGUCGUCUUAGUCUCCUAAUAUCUUGUUUUAAACUCUUAUUUUCUUGACUCUUUGUUCGAUCCAUGAUGUCACUCUCUAUAUCCUUGUUGGGCACAACUAAAUCUUCUUUAGAUUUGGUGUGAUGUAAAGGACCAUCCACAAUACCACAAACCAACCACCUUAAACUAACUGAACAAGAGGUAAAAAAACAGUGUUAGAGUUCAACAUUUUUUCAAAAUCUCUUUUCCUUCUUUUUCUUUUUGAAAAAAUCACCGAACCCAAGAAGGGAGCCUACGUAUCUCACUCCCAAGAGAGGAGAAUCAAGUGUGUGUAGUUCGUGAAGUCUUGCCAAAAUGGCCAAUCAAACUGUUUUUCCAUUCUUUUUUCUUUUUGUUGAAACUUCAAAAAGAAAAAAAAAACAAAUUGUCAAAAGAAUUAAUGAAAAUCUUUUUGCAUUUUUCAUCUUUAACACCCCUAUACAAAAUGAGGAUCUAUGAUUACCAAAGAAAAUCUUUCUGGGUUUUCAAUUUUGAAUUUCACACAAAAAUGAAACUUGAAACUAUGAAAGAAAAAUAUUUUUGUAGUUUUCUUUUAAAGAUGUAUAUGACACCUACUCUAAAUGAAGAGUGAAGAAAAACUUUUUUUGAAUUUUUUUGAAUAAGAUCCCCAAACCCACAAUAGGUUGCCUACGUAUCUCACUCCCGAGAUAGGAGAAUCGGGGGUGCGUAGUUCGUUCAGAUUGGACAAUUAAAGAUUAAAUAACAAACUAAACCUUGACUUAUGAGACAUUACCAAAGAAAAACAAUGAAAAACAUCAAUAAAAUCUUUUUGGGGUUUUUAAUAUAACACUUCACACAAAAAUGACACCAACAACCAUGAAACAAAAAUCUUUUGGUAUUUUUGUUGUAUUAAAUGUACAAAAGUUCUACCAUAUUUUAUGCAUUUUUUCUUUUAAAAAAAAAUGCAAUUAAAAAAGAAAUUCUAAUAUUUUCGAAUUAUGAAUGCAUGGUAAAGGAACAAAAGGAAAAUCUUUUUGAUGGUUUUUUUUUGAAGAUGAGUGGGAAAGGUUAAAAAAAAUUGAUUUGACUUGAUUUUUUUUUUUUGCUUGUAAAAAAAUAAUCAAAAGCCAUAAAACUCUAAAAACUACGAAACUCUCUUUUUUCUCUAUUUUUUUUAAAAAAAUUUUUCAACACUUUUUUUGUCUACACACUUUACUUCUAACACAUGCUUACCCAAAUCGAUCCGUUAAAUGACAACGUUACCCUCAGAGAUGCAACAUCUAGCACGUAGGGAUGCAUUAGAGGUGAGUAUCCUACAAAGGACCUAGUGGGCCCCGCUAGGUCUCAAUAUGAUGCACAUAAGCAUGACCUAAAGGCUGACCUACGUCGGGAUUCACUAACAAGGCUACUCGGGGGAGUGUAUGGUCGAUAGUGGUUGUGACAACUUUCCACCCUCUCCAUACGUCCGACGGAUCCCCCUCCUAAAAUAAGGGUGAUUCAACUAGAGUUCGUGUACACGACGUGCACUUCGAGACUUGUUAUAGAAAGAAUUGACUCGGGUCAUGCAAAUGAUGCCAGAUAUAAAGCGGUAACACAAAGAAAAAUCAUAAAUAAAGAGCACGUAGGCACUCAACAAUGAUAAAAUAAAUACAAACGAUAUCACAAACAAUGUCUAUACACCCAUAAUGUCAAACUAAGCUGAUACAACUCCAAAAAAUAAGCUCGAAUUUUGAAAGUUCUCCAGCAGAGUCGCCAGAAUUGUCACACCCCCUUUUUUAACUCCAAAAAGAUUAAUUUUAAGUUCGAAAGGGUUUUAUUAUUAAAAUGACAAAAAUGAAGAUUUUUUUCGAAAAAAUAUUAUUUACACAUUUUUUUUAUUCAGAUUCGCCACUUGGCAUAAUUCCAUGUACCAAGUUACCUUUGAAAAAUCAUUUUCAAAAUGAUUUGACUCUUUAAAACUGUUUUACGAAUAGAGAUUCUAGCUAAGGAAUUCUGUUGACCGAGGGGAAGGUGUUAGGCACCCCUCGAUCCCAUGAUUUGACCAUGGUCGCUUGGUGGAGCAUAUCGGCUAAUUUGACAUUACAAAUGUAUAAACCACACAAAAUAAUCAAUCAAACAAACAAAAAAAAAAACAAGUCCAAAAUAUAGUGUUCAGUCUAAUUAUACAGUCCAAAAUGAAAAUUUGAAAAAUAUAAAUCCUAUUCUAAACGAAUCCUAAUACUACGCUCCAAUUCCUUACCCGAUGCCUCGGGCCUUGAUCAUGAGCAUUCUUUGCGUACAUGAUACUUCGGAGCAUUCCCCGGUGAAUAAGUACAAUUCCCUCAGGGCAUUCCCCGGCAAACGAAUACAAUUUCAAUUUCAUGAGAUAAACUAGAAAAUCAUUCAACACAUUCAACAUUCCACUCAUUCAAUGCAACAUCAUUCCUAAAUUCGCCUCCCCAAACUUAAACUUUUGCCUAUUUAUUCGAUGGCGUAAUCAUGAUAUUGUCACAUUCAACCUUCGAUUUUUUUCCAAAAUAACCGACGACAAUAAAUCAAGACUAAAGAAUAUUCAUUUUUAUCAAUUCCUAUCAUCCAACCCCCCACAUUCUUUUUUAACACCAAAUUUCAACAAAUUCAAGAUUACUAUUUCAACAAUCCACACCCAUCUAUUCAACGAAGUUGAGCAAACCAAAUUAAUAUCACCCAAUAUUCAACCAAAUCUCACACAAAUCAAAUGCAUAUGAAGAACUAAAAUGAGAGGAGAUAGAAUUGGACCUUUCAAUGACUGAUUUUCGUUGAUAAUAAUAUUUAAGAAAACCAGGACUUGGAACCUCGUAUAAAAUAACCUCAUCUGCGAUGAAUCUAACUUGGUAUAGAAGAAUUUGAAACCCCAAAGCUGAUUGAGACGGUUGGAAAAACCCAGACCCCAGAAUAGGAACAAGAACCGAUGAAUCCUUACGCUCGAUAUCAGCGAGGAAACCCAAAACUCCAAUACGCGAUGGAAAACUGAUAAGAAAAUAGUGUAGCCUGUGCUCCGGUGAGCUAUCAGUGAACAAAAAUCAAUGGAAAUGGUGAAGAUUCCAGUGAGACCUAGGAGUUUUCUAACCAAAACUGCCGGUUUCACUGUUUCUCAUCGAAUCUCUGUCGAUCACCCUCCAUUAUCUCAUUUUUCCUCUAAUACAUGGGAAAAAUGGAGCUCUCUGUACUAUAAUUUUUAUGGUUUGUGAUAGUGUGAUUUGUGUGUAAAUAUGGCGUCUGUGUAUUGUCGAUCCAAGAAGAGAAAAAAAUAGAUGAUGGAUGAUGAUCUCUAAUGGAAUCGUGAAUGGGAACCCCUUUUCUUAUAUUUUUUAUUUGGUGUUAUUCCUAUCGCUCUCUGAUUUGUGAGAUACAUGUUCAUAUAUCUUUUUUUAAUUGUUAUGGAAAAGAAAAAAUAAGGAAAGUGUGAGUGGGGUGAUGGGUAGGGUAGGUGGGUAGGGGUAUAGGGUGGGGUAGCUUGUUAGGAUGAGGUGUAAAGUUGGUUAGGAUAGGGUUAUUAUUUUUUGUAUUUUUGUGGGGUAUGAUCACAUGGAUGAGGACACGUGGUAAGGUGAGCUAUAAAAAUAGAUAAAAUCAACGUUGGGAGGGACAAAAUUAGGUGUCUACAUUGAGGUUUCUAACUUUUUUAGACAAUUUACAAUAUUUGGCAAUAUGACCAGACUGCCCACACCUUUAACAUUUGCCACUAAUGAGGGAAGGAAGAGUCAGUGUUACCGUCUGGUUUUGUUUAGGAUGGGAUGGUUUUGAUUUUCGGGAAAAGUUAGUCUUGGUAUUAGAAAAUUCCCUUUUUAAGGUUGGUUUUCUAAAAGCCUUCUUCCUACAAUAGGGGAGGCCAAAUUGUUCACUGAGACUUCCUAAAUCUCGAUGGGUUUGAGCCCUGUCUUUAGAGAGUUACCUUAAUAUCUUAUCUUGCCAAUAGAUUUUUAAGGCAACUUGCUGAACUAGGCAUGUGAGCUAACCAUAAGUGAUUGGCUCAUUUAGAAUAAUCAAGUUGGAGUAUUGGUUUUGAAGUUCCUCUUUGACUAAGUCUCUAAGGGGCGUAGGCAAUCUAUCCAGGAAUUUUUCUUUUCAAUAUGGGAGGUUCCCAUCAGGUCUUUCAUAGAUCCUCUUAAGAAAAGCAUCUUUGUACCACCUGAAAUAAGAAAGAGUUUUACACUUAAGAUUGGUAAGUACUUCAGAGGAUCUUUCUCUAAAGAUACCUGGACUGCCGAUGAGGGUUUUGAUAAUAGUAUAAAUCAAUGUAUUUGUGCAAUCAGGAAUGGUUUCUCCAUCCCUAAGAAUUGGUUCUCCUAAGGAGUCUACACGGACACUUUGGAAGAUACUUUUUUUUAUCUUCCUCACUAAGAUGGAUAUCCCACUAUCCUUUAAGCUGGCCUAUGAACCCAGCUACUAGGACAUAGGUAGUGAGUUGAUCAGAGUAGUUGUGGGAAGUUCUAUAAGCAGUGGAAACCAUUGUCAUCUACUGAAGUUUGGACAGGAUGUUAUACUUAGAACAACCAUCUAUGUUCCAUUCAUAAAUAUUAUUAGCGUUGUAGUUAUUCUACAUAACAUAAGGUCUUUUUUCUAAAGCUACGUCUGGAGGAGUGGCUCUAGGGUAAUAAAGUUUUUGUGGCUUUCUCCAGUUGGAAGAUUCAGUUUUGACAAGAGCUAUUUCAAGAGGAGGUUCUUCCUAUGGCUAGCUAUCAUCUGAACUAUCCUGUUGGAGAACCCCAACUGUAGCAGAUGAGCCAACACUUGGGGUCUCAGGAAUGUCUAGGUGGAGGUAUUUCUCAAUUUGGAUAAUCCUCCGCUGAAGGUCAGAUAGCGGUGGGAAAGACUUUGAAUUAUGCAUUUGGAUUUUCCUAGUGAAAUUCGUAGGAAUCUCGUAAGGCUUAAAUAAAGGAGAGGACCAGGUAGUCACCUCUAACUUAAGAGUUAGAGAUGGUUUUGAAGUCAAGUAUUCACCAAGUGUAUGAAGAUACUUAUUGAUAUAGUUAUUUUGUUCGAAAAUACUUUUAAUGUCUUUGCUAGUAACUGGUUUGUUUUCAGCCUUUCUUUUGAAAAGUGAAGCAACAAUUGAGCUAUUGGCAUGAGAAAUUGUAAAACCUUGUGAUGGAGAAAGUUCAGCAGUGACAUUCGCACCAUUUAUGGUUUUCUAUACUUAUGAAACAUUGAUUGAUUUAGAAAAAUAAAAAUCCAAUUGAUGAUAUUUAGCAUAAACCUUAAACCAUUCAAAGAAAUUAAUUUAUUUUUGGACAGAAUUUAGAAAUUCAUAAUAAAUUUCUUGAAUAUUUUUUGCCAUCUUUCGUGAAAUUAGUAAAAAAUCAAGUCCGUUUGAAAAUAUUUUCAGAUGAAUAAAAUUCUGUUCCAAGAGUUUUCUUAUCAAUGUGAAAAUCUUGACUUAAAACCCCCAGUUCUGCGCCUAAGGCUGAGUAAGUUGGAGAUUGGGGUGGAUAAUCAUGGAUCUUGGUGAGAGGUGUUUCCACAAAAUAUUUAGCUUGUGGAAAUCUAGAUUCAAAGUUAACAGUCUCAAUUCUAGAAGGAAAUGAGGAAACUGAAUUCCUAGUCGUCUGUAUCUCAGGGAGAAUAGAUGAGGAGCCAGAGAUUCGUUGGCUUUGAGAUCUUUGGAAACAAAUAGAAACAGUUCCUGUGGAGAAAAUUCGGAUCUAAGAAACUAUAGUAUUCUCAAGUUUUUCAGUUGGGCUGUAUCUUGCAACAUCCAACUCUGGGGCAAGGAUACUUGAUUCCAAGAGAUCUGCUUGGUAAUUGACAAGUGAGAUCGUUAAAGGCCAAUUUGGAAGAGUACGAUUUUUCCAUUGUAGAUGUUUUUCAUAGAUCAGGAGGUAAAGUUAGUAUUUAUGGCCUUAUAUUGAACUCUAUAAAUGACUGCUACAUGGAGAGAUCUAUAUUUGGUUUUGUAAUUGGAUGUCUUAACAUUGAGUGUUAAAGAAUCUAAUAUAUUUAGAUCCUUUAAGGAAACGGUAAAAUUUAGAAAAUAGUCAAAGUAAAUUAGACCAUAACAAAGACUGGUUUCGACCAUUCCUAGUAAGGAAUCAUUGAAGUCUAGGAACCUAGAGUCCCUAAGACAAAGGAGUGGAGAUGUAUCUAAACCUUCUCGUGAAAGAGGUUUAGCUGCUAUUUGGACUAGGCCGAAAUGAAGGUAAUCGCAUUUAUACUUACAUACUUCGAUAGUCUUGGGUUGAGAAGCUUGAUAUCUUCAUGAUCUGAUUCAAGAGAGAUAGUUUGUUCGAUAGUGAAAUAUGGUAGUGACUUGUUUAGAGAUUGCCAUCUGGAGGGAGCCUUGUAAAUUUGGUCUUAAGGAUGCCUGGAAAUUUUUCAGUCAUCAAUUGAUUGCUGCAAAUCAGAGAAACUAAUCUCUUCCUUGAGUUUUGAACUUGAAGAAUUGUAGGAUGUUGAAGUGGAUGAAGAGGAUGAAGAGUUCUUAGAAGUAGAAGAGAAGGGACGACAGAAAGCCAUAGAAGAAUUUAAACAAUAAACAAUUAAUAACAACAAUAUUAACCUAUAAGCUUCCUAUCCUUGGAUCAAGAGACUAUUGAGUUCCAUAAAGAAAAAUAUUCAAGUACUUAAUUCAAUAUUAGAUGGAAGAGUCAAAUCUGGUAAUUAAAUUAGUGAAAUCUUGCCUCAAUACUAUAUGUUUUAGCUAGAUCCAUUUUAUCUAAAAGGUUCAUUAGUCGGAUAGUCCAAAGGUUAUAAAUAACCAUCUGUAAGUCCCUAAGUCUCCACCUGCAAUUCAUCCAUAAAUGCUUAGGUUAAACAACUUACAAUGUAGAUCUGAAAGAUCAGAGUAAUAUCUUCAAAAUAAUCCUUUUAUAAAAUAAAUCUCUUUAAGUCUAAUAGAUUAAGUCAAGUUUUACCAUUCAUAUUAAAAAUCUAACAGUACUAUAUAAUAGCAAGUUAAAAAAACAAUAAUAAUCUUUACUUUCCCCCAUGGCUCUGAUACCAUGUAUAUAUAUAUAUAUUUCUAACAAAAAAUAAUAAAAUAUUUUUAAAAGGAUUAUAUAUUAAAUUUUGUGACAAAUUAAACUAAAACGAGAUCGAAGGGGAGUAAUGAGUGAGAUCAUAUGGCAUGUAGUAACAUUUGGACUUAAUAGUUUUGGUCUAUUCCCACCUACUAGAGCACUACCAACCAAAACUUUUAUCAUUGUUCACACGGUUCGGCGCGUGACAGUUAGAUGUAUUGGAUGAUGGUCCAUGAAGAUUAAAAAUAGACCAGAUAUAAUGGUAGUAGAAGUGGUAUUGGCUUAAACAUAUAAGUGUAUCGGUUAAAUUGUUUUCGUCCCCUGAAAGUCUUAACCUGUGAUUGUUGCUGGUUAGGUUUUGUAUUUCGGAUUAUGGCUAGUAAACUUUAAAUUACACGCCAAGAUAAGUUCCACAGUAUGCAUUUUCUAAAAAUCCAAAAAAAACGCUCUUCAGCAAUUACACAAUUGUACACGUAAUGAAAAUGAUAUGCAGAUCGAUAUGAAUCAUUAUGAGGAACAAAAUUGACGCAAGACGUUUAUUAGGGUUUAAAUAAACUCUUAUCCCUUAUCUGUAUCCCAUUGUAAUUUUCAUUAUACACUUACCAUUAUUUUUAAGUUUUCGAAGAAUUCGCGAAACUCUUCAGCAGUUAUAUAGUUAUACAAGUAACGAAAAUGACAUGCAGAUAUGAAUCAUUAUGACGAAUGAAAUGGAUGCAAUAUGUUUAUUAGGGUUUAAAUACAUUCUUAUUCCUUAUUUGUGUCCCAUCGGAGUUUUCAUUAUUCACUUGCCAUUAUUUUGAGGUUUUCGGAGAAUCUAUGAAGCUCUUCAGCAGUUACAUAGUUGUAGAUGUAAUAAAAAUAACAUUCAGUUUUGAAUCAUUAUGGGUAAUGAAAUUGACGCAAGACAUGCAUUAGGGCUUAAAUACAUUAUUAUCUCUUAUUUGUAUCCCAUUGCAAUUUUCAUUAUUCAUUUGCCAUUAUUUUGAAGAAUCCGCGAUGCUCUUAAGGAGCUACAUAGUCGUCCACAUAACGAAAAAUGACUUGCAGAUAUGAACCAUUAUGAUGAACCAAAUUGACGCAACACAUUUAUUAGGGCUUAAAUACAUUCUUAUUCCUUGCUAAUAGAUACAUUCUUAUUCCUUACUAAUAUUAUUAUUUGGUCAUCUCAAUUUACAAUGCAUGCCCUUUAAUUAUCACAUUAAGCCAACGAUUUAGGGCAAAUAAUUAUUCUAUAAAAUGAUCCAUAAAUGCUUAGGUUAAACAACUUACAAUGUAGAUCUGAAAGAUCAGAGUAAUAUCUUCAAAAUAAUCCCUAAACAUAUCAUCAAAUUUUCAUUUCAAAAUGUAACUAUCAAUUCAUAAAAUCAAUAUCAAUUUUUUUAAUAAGUUGAUUUAAACAUGUUCUUAACUUAGAUGUAAACAAAACAAGGUGGAUUAAAUUAGUAGAGGAAUAGUAUACGUGGCAACAAGGUCCAUUAUAGUCAAAAAUAUUAUUAUAUUAAUUUUUUUAUUAGUCAAACCAAAUCUUUUCUCUUAGUAAAUGAGAAAUUAUCCACAUUAAGUAUCAUCAUUAACCCGCGUGUCAAACCAUCCGUUUCUUAUUCCUCAAGUCCUCAAUGCCACUGCCAUUACCACUUCCUCCUUUGCCAGUUCCCAUCAACAAUUAAGAUAAUCAUCCCGUAUUCACGUAAGAGAUUAAUUUUCUCUGAUACUAGUGAAUGCAAUGCUAAAUUCAUCAAAAUGUUGAAUUUUAAUAUGUGAUGUAAAUUUAUAUCCAAAUUAGAAAUCAUAACAAAUAGUGAAUUUAAACUUCAUAAUUCAUCGCCAUAUAACAAGAGAAAUUAUAUUUUUUAAAUAUCAAAUUUUCAAUAUUACAUAAGAAAAUGAAUAAAACAUCUUUGGUUUUCAUCAUAAUUACUAUUAUUAGGCUCAUAAUUAAGUCAUAAUUAUAACUCAAGAAUUAAUUCAAAACAUUACUUAGCAUUAAUACCAUGGUAUUUAUUCAUAUAAUCUGCUUGUUAAAUGUAGUAUCUGUAAUUUAUAACUAGUUAAUCCAAUCAACUUGUUAACUUUAGGUGUAAACAAAUUAAGUGCACUAAUUUGGUCGAUUAUGAUCUACGUGGCAAAAAGAUCCAUAAUAAUAGCCAAAACAAAAUUAUUUUUUUUAGUUAAACAUAAUCUUUUCUCUUAGUAAAUGUGCAAUUAUCCAUACACUUAUAACCUACACGUGUUGCAUUGUCGUCACCGCCACCACUUUUUCAUUUGUCAAGUUUUCAUCACAUGCACGAAAAUUACGUAAACGUGUGGCUCAGACAGAUUACGUUUCCAAGUUUGAAAUAUUUUCGUUCUCCUUCUGCCAUCACCAUCAGCACCACCAGUACCACUUCCUCCUCCAUCAAGUUCCCAUCACAUCCAAAAAAACUUGCACGUACAGUUCUAGCCAAUUAUUAGAAUCUUUUUUCAAUUCUUCCGACCUUUUCACAUCACACAAAAUUCAAAAAAAAUACCUUCGAAAGACCAUAAAAUUAUGACAAUUAUAAUUACAAAAAAUGGUAAAUUCAAACUAAUAAUUUGAUACCACUAAAACUCAAAUCACAUAGCACUCAAACAUUUUAGAAAAAAACAACCCUAAAGAUUUAUUUAAUUUUUCGAUAUUGCUUUCAAGAUCAAAUUUUUCUUCAACAUUAACAUUUCUUCCCCCAUAUAUAUACUAGUACUACUAAAAAAAAAAUUGUAAUUUAUAGUAACUUUCAUAUAGUUUUUGAAUAUUUAAAUUUUAAUUUUAAAAUAAUUAAAUUGAUCUAAUCUAUUUUAACUUUGAAACUUAGUCAAAUUGACUCACGAAAAAUGAGGGGAACAAUUUAAAAGGAAUGAAGGGAGUAUAAAUUUUACUCCUUCCGUUCUAAUUUAUACACGCCACUUUGUCUAAACUUUAAAAAAGGAAGAGAGAUUGAUGAAAUUUAUGAUCUAUAAUAAGUCAUAUAUAUUUGCAUGACUAUAAAUUAUUUUAUUAAGGAUAAAAUAUGAUAUUUUAAAGUUAAAUUGUUACUAAAUACAGAAGUGUAUCAUUCUUGCUGGGGAAGUAAUAUUGAUCCUUAUUAUUUUUAGUUAGUGAAGUUUUAACUUUUGAUUAAUUGAUAUGUGCACAUCUCCGAAAAAUAGCAAUUAAGAAUGGAGAAUGUAUACUAAGAAAAAGAUUUAAUUUUUUCUUUGUUAUAUGACACGAUUAAAGGUCUUAAAUAAAUGCAAUAUAAUUACUUGAAACAAAUAUAAAGUAAAAAAUAUGUUUUAAAUUUGAGUUUAUUAUUUUUAAGCUCAGAAAUAUGGAGGAGAAAACAUUUUCAUUUUUCCCUUUCAUUUUAAGAAAAAACACCAAAUUAUGCAAUAAAUUAAAAAUUAUUUACCCAUCAUGGAAUUGAGUAAUAAAAAAAUUAAAGGAUGUAAUUGUUUGGGCUCGUAAUAAAUAAUAACUGUCCUUUAUGCUACACGAAAAUAACUACAUAUAGUGUGUACAUUAUCGUAUACAAUUCAUUUAAUUAUGUAUACUUAUAAUAAAUUAAAUCAUCAUAACAAUUUCGAUCUUGUUAUAAAUGUAUUUACAUUAUAGUGAAUGUCUAUCAAGAUCUAAUAAGAUUUAGUUGAUAUCUAUCAGGAUUUGAUGUAUUUGUCUUUUAAUGUGAAAUUGGGGGCAAAUUUCCCCUAUAAAUAGAAGCUUCCUUCAUUGUAAAUCAUCCCUCAAUGGAAGAAAUAAGAAUUAAUCUCUCUAUUCUCUCUACUCUUCUUUCUUGUUCUUUAUUAUUUUAUAACACGUUAUCAGCACGAGACUCUGCCAAACAAGGUGAGAUUAUAAAUCUAAAGGAUUUCAAGGUUAGUAAUUCUUUAUGUUAUCUUUCUUUUGCUACUACUAAUAUAAUUAUUACUGAAUUUGAGGAAAAAUAAUUGGUUUGGAGUCAUUUAUAUUUUAAAUUUAUUCCUCAAUAACAAUAUUAUAAAAAAGGAUGAUAAUGCCUAUAUAUGGAUAAGAUGUUGAGUUUGAAUCUUAAUACACCAUACUGAUGAUAUUAUGAUGGCUAAGGCAAAAUAAUGGGUGUUUAAUAAAAGGUCAUGAAACAUAUCCCAUUAGUAUGCUCUAUUCCAUGAAGUAAAUAUGGUAGCAUGAAUCUGAAAAUUGACAACUUGCUUCAUUGUUAAAAGAAGACAAGUGAUUGAAUGCACGAAUAUAAGCGUGGAGAGACAAUAUGAUAAUAAUCAUCAAAAGUGAUAAUAUUUUCACACACUUAUUAUGAUUAUAAGAUAUGCUAGAGAAAAAAUUUUCUACAUCAUAUGUAUGCCUCGAUUUGCUGCUGAAGUAGCAAAAUUUUGAAAGAGGUUAUAAGCUAUCAUAAUUUGAUAGCCUUAAGGCACGAUUAUAUUCCAUUCCUAGGGAAUGAGAAACUUAUUAAUGCAAACGUGCACUUGAUUGUGAUUGUAUCACAACUCACCUCCAAAAGAGGUUGAAUAAUUUUAAAAUCUUCCUAUGAAAAUGGUUGCCACUGCUUAUAGAAUUGCCCACAACUUCUCUGAUCAACUCACUACCCAUGUCCUAGUAGCUGGGUUCACAGGCCAUCUUAAAGGAUGGUGGGAUACCCAUCUUAGUGAGGAAGAUAAACAAAGUAUCUUCCAAAGUGUCCGUGUAGACUUCUGAGGAAAACCAAUUCUUAGGGAUGGAGAAACCAUUCUUGAAUCCACAAAUACAUUGAUUUAUACUAUUAUUAAAACUUUCAUCGGUCGUCCAGGUAUCUUUAGAGAAAGAACCUCUAAAGUACUUCAAAUCUUAAGUGUAAAACUCUUUUUGAUUUUAGGUGGUACAAAGAUGUUUUUCUUAUGAGGAUCUAUGAAAGACUUGAUGGGAACCUCCCAUAUUGGAAUGAAAAAUUCCUGGAUGGAUUGCCUAAGUCCCUUAGAGACUUACUCAAAGAAGACCUUCAAAACCAAUACUCCAACAAGAUCAUUCCAUAUGAGGGAAUCACUUAUGUUCAGGUCACAAGCCUAGUUCAACAAAUUGCCUUAAAAAUCUAUCAACAAGAUAAGAUAUUAAGGCAACUCGCUAAAGAUAGGGCUCAAACCCGUCGAGAUUUAGGAAGUUUCUAUGAACUAUUUAGCCUCACCUCUUGUAGGAAGAAGACUUAUAGAAAAACAACCUCAAAAAGGGAAGUUUCUACUAUCAAGCCUAAUUUUCCCUGAAAAUUAAAAUUGUCCCAUCCUAAACGGAACUAUAUGGUAACACCGAUUCUUCUCGCCCCCAGUUGUGGCAAAUGUUAUAGGUGUGGGUAACCUGGUCAUAUUGAUAAAUAUUGUAAAUUGUCUAAAAAGGUUAGAAACCUCAACCUUGAUGAUUUUAUCCUUAGCCAAAUCCAACACCUCUUAUUAGAAGAAAGUGGAGAUUCAGAUAGUUCUAAUGAUGAAUUUGAUUAGGAAUUCAACCAAAUCCAAAAUGAUGACUUGUAAUCUACCCUGUCUAAUCAAGAAAACCAACCAAAGAUCAAUGUUCUAACAAAAGAACAAGAUCUCCUCUUAGAAAUGAUUAGCAAUUUACAAGAUUUCGAUCAAAAGAAGUAUUAUUUAGACCAAUUCAAAAAGACCCUAGAUAAGCCUUCUACAUCUUCAUCUAGUGUAUUUUCUCAUCCCUAGAUUAUAAAUACUUACAAUAUCACUGACUUCCUGAAGCGGUUUUCUUCUAGUAAACCUAAGUUAGUAACUUUUCAAGACCUCUAAUCUAAGAUAGUACUCCUUAAAGAGUAAAUUAGACAAAUCAAAGUAAGACAAGACAUAGAUCGCCUUGUCCUCCAAUAAUUCUCUACGAAGGUUGAACAAUCUCAGUUGGUAGAUGUCACUGACCCAUUGGAUCGGAAUAUUGAAGAGGGAGAUUUCCUUAUUCAAUACAUUUCAAGGAUUCCCAUCAGAAGAUGGCAUACUCGGAUAACCUGGGUGAUCAACAAAUCAUUUAUCCUAGAUAUCAUUGCCUUGUUUGAUACAAGUGCAAACCUCAUUUAUGUCCAAGAAGGACUUAUCCCUACUAAGUACUUCUAAAAAAUCCCUUAGGGCUACAAAUGGUAGUAAACUAAGAAUAAGUUACAAACUUUCCAAUGUCGAAUUAUGAAAUUCCCUACGAAAUUUGCUUUUGUCAUCCUCUACUUCCUUUGUUCUAGUAAAGGAUAUAACCAGUCCUAUAAUGCUAGGCACCCCCUUUAUUGCAACUAUAAUUCCUUUCUAGGUUUACUCAUACGGGAAUAAUUAUUGAGGCCAACAAUAUGUUUCUCCCAUUUGACAAACUACCUAUUCAAAAAAUUUUAUCCUCUCUAAAAAUCAAAGAGGCUCAAAUUAAUUUUCUCAAAGAAGAAAUUGCAUUCUGAAGACUGGAGCAACGACUUUAGGAACCUUCUCUUCAAUCUAUGGUCAGGACCUUAGAAACAAAGAUUGAAAAAGAGCUUUGCGCUUACCUGCCCACAAUAUUUUGGAAUCGCAAAAAGCAUAUGGUCAGGCUUCCUGAGAGCCUAACUUUGAUGAAAAAACAAUUCCUACCAAAGCUUGUCCAAUUCAAAUGAAUCAUAAGAUGACAAUCUAUUGUCAGACGAAAAUCAAUGAUCUUCUCAAAAAAAUAUCAUCUCACCAAGUAAAUCUCCUUGGAGUUGUGCUGCCUUCUAUGUCAAUAAAAGUUCCGAAAUUGAACGAGGAGCCCCACAUUUGGUUAUCAACUACAAACCUCACAAUUUUGCCCUCCGAUGGAUUAGAUAUCCUAUUCCUAAUAAAAAGGAUCUUCUCCAACGGCUUUAUGCUGCUAUAGUUUUUUCCAAGUUUGAUCUAAAUUCAGGGUUUUGGCAAAUCCAAAUUAAUCCAAGAGAUCAUUAUAAAACUGUUUUAUAGUACAAUUUGGGCAAUAUGAAUGGAACAUAAUGCCCUUUGGCCUAAAAAAUACUCCUUCCGAAUUUCAAAAAAUAAUGAAUGGCAUUUUAAUUCUUUUUCAAAAUUCAUUCAUGUGUAUAUUGAUUAUGUUUUAGUGUUUUCCAUCAGCAUUGAUCAACAUUUUAAAUAUUUACGCGUCUUCUUUAAUAUCAUCAAAGAUAAUGGCUUAGUUUUUUCCAAAACUAAGUAUAGUCUUUUUCAGCUCGAUAUCAGAUUUCUCGAUCAAAAAAUUUGCAAUGGUACUAGUACCCCAAUUCAAAGAUCCAUCCAAUUUGCUGACAAAUUUCCUAAUCAAAUUCUUGAUAAAACUCAACUUCAACAAUUUUUAAGAUGCGUUAAUUAUACAACAGAUUUUAUUCCUGGGCUCAACAAUCUAUUGAAACCUCUCCACGAUAGGUUGAAAAAGCCUCCUCCUCCGUGGACUCAAAUUCAUACCAAUGUAGUUAAAGAAAUCAAAUUAAAGGCAUAAGACCUCCCUUGCAUAUCUCUCCUCGAUCCCUCUGCAUUCAAAAUAGUUGAAACAGAUGAAUCAAACAUAGGCUAUGGUGGCAUUUUAAAACAAAAUAAACAUGACAAAGAAUAGUUGCAUUUGUAUCAAAACAUUGGAAUAAAGCUCAGAAAAAUUAUCCUACUAUCAAAAAAGAAUUUUUAGCAACUGUGUUAUGCAUUUCCAAAUUUCUAGCUGAUUUGUUAAAUCAAAAUUUUUUCCUAAGGAUUGAUUGUAAAGCGCCGAAAUCUGUUUUGAAAAAAGAUGUAAAGAACCUUGCUUCUAAACAUAUAUUUGCUAGAUGGAAAGCAAUACUAUCUAUUUUUUAUUUUGAUAUUGAAUAUAUCAAAGAGAGAUCUAACUCUAUACCAGAUUUUCUUAUCAGGAAAUUCUUGCAAGGAAGAUAAGAUGUCCAGAUAAAAUAACAAAGAACCUCUACCUCCACAAAUUCCAGCUCUUUCAUCUCCAGAAGAGACCACCAAAAAAGUUGUUACACCAAAACAAGAAACUUUAGUUGCACCAAAGCAACUUCCAAAUAUAGUAGCUGACACAAAUCAACCAAUAUAUCAAACCUCAGCUGAUUAUGCCAUGCCAGGAUUACCAUAAUCUUUCAUAAUGCAAUAAAGUACAAAUUCAAUUUCAAUUUCCAACACCAAGAAAUGGGUUGAUUUGGUCGACGAAGAAGACGAAGAGACUCAAUUAGCUCAAAUAGUGUCUGUCCCCUGGAUAAAAGAAAAUUUUAAAAAAUGGCACCUACUUAUGGGUUGUAGACACCUAAUUUUGUCCCAUCAAAAAUAUUUCUUAUUCUGAUAUCACACAAUUUAACCCCAUUCUUAUAAUUUUUUCCCAAGAAAAUAAAUAACCACCCCAUCUUUUACUUAUUUAUUUAUUUAUUUAUUUUUGUUUUUUUUUAUCCCAAAAUAACAAGUCAUAACAAACUUUGCCUCAUUCUAACAUUCCAACAUCCCACCUAAUAAAAAAUGGACACCUAACCCCUACCCCUCCAAUUAAAAAAAAAACAACACCUCACCACUCACCAAACUACCUCACCACCACCACCUCCAUGUGACCCCCUACCUUUUUUUGUUUACACAUUUUCUUGCCUUCUCCAUUUAUAGAAAAAGACAAUACACAAAAGAGGAGGAUUCAUUGGGGUCCACAGAAUGACAAAAAAACAUAAAACACAAAAUAGCACCAUCACCUCACAAUUUCAUAGGCACACAAUCAUCUUCUUCACGAUAUAUUCACUCACAUUAACUAAUAAGAAGGAGAAGGAGAUACUCACCCUUAACAAAACCUCAUACCCUCUUUAUUUUCUCCAUUGAUUACACAGAAAGAACACUACACACAGAAAAUGAGGUAGAUCGAGAAAGAGUAGCAGAGAGGAGAGACGCAAAAAAGAGAGGAAAAGAGAUCUGGGUUUCUGUCUUUUUCACCUUCAUCCAUGCCUACAUAUGAAAAACACACGCACAUGAUGAAAACAGUGAAAACAACAAAAAAAUGAGCAAAAAUAGCGUGAGAAUCGAAGGAGAAAACAGAAUUCAGGUUUCUAGUUAGUGUUCCGGUGACCCCUUUGCCGGAACUCAUCAUUCUCUUUCGAUUUCUGGGUGAAUCUGGUCAGGAAACGAUAAUCUCAAUGGAAUUUAUCUUGAUUCAUCGUUACUGCCGUUGUCUGGGCGAACCGGAGCUCAGGCUAUACUGAUUUUGACUUUUUGUUGCAUUGUUGGGGUGUUGGGGUUCAUCUGUUUUUGUGUUUCAUCGUCAAAACCAGGUUUCCAUCUUGUCGAAUUUCUUAGAUUUGGUUUUAAUUUUAUUCUUGGGUUUUUGAGAUUCGAACUUCAUCUUUCUAUUCGGGGAUUUUCUAUUGUCGUUCGAAGUUGUUGAUUCGAAUGUUUAUAAUUGAGUUUGGUUUCCCGAAUUAAAUUUAUUCGGAUUGGUAUUGGCGAUAUCGAGUUGGAUCUUUGUCAUUUUUGAAGCUAGAAGUUGAGGUUCUCGGGCGUGGUUCUAUCUCCGAUGUAUUGAAAGCGACACUUGAGGUCCAAUUCUAUCUUCUCUUUAAUUUUUUAUGUGAAUAUGAAUGAUUUAUUAUUUGAUAUGUUUGAAUCUUUGUUUUUGUGUUGGUUGAUGUUGGAUUUGAAUGUGGAAACUUGGAUUAGUAGUCGAAGAAUUGAUUAAUUAUUUUGAAAAUGAAUGCAGGAAGAGAUUGAUCUCGAUAAAAGUAAAUUUGGAUAAUUUUUGAUUCUUUGAUGAUGUUGAAAUGUGAUAAGAAUCAUGAUAGGUCAAGUUGGAUAGGAAAAUAGUAGGUUCGGGUAAGAAAAUUUAGAACUUUUGGAUUGUUGAAUGCUGAAAAUAUUUGUUGAAUGGUUUUAUUUUAUGAAUUUGAAUCGAUUGUAUUCAUUCUUCGGGGAAUUCCCCAAGGUCACAUUUGUAUUCAUUCACCAGGGAAUGUCCCAACGUAUCAUGUACUCGGAGGAUGCCUGUGAUGAAGGCCCGAAGCAUCGGGUAUGGCAUUGGAGUGUAGUUUAGGAUUAGUGUAGGUUAGCGUAGGUUUACUUUUCAGUACCUUUUUCAUUUCGGGUUGUAAUAAUUGGAAUGAACACUAUAUUUUUGGACUAGUUUUGUUUGUUUGAUCGAUCAUUUUCGUGUGUUUUAGUGUGGUUUGUACAUUUUGUAGUAUCAAAUUAGCCGACAUGCUCCACCAAGUGACUGUGGCCGAACCCCGGGAUCGAGAGGUGCCUAACACCUUCCCCUUGGUCAACAAAAUUCCUUAACCGAAAUAUCUAUUCGCGCAUCAGUUUAAAAGAUUCAAAUCAUUUUUUUUUGACAAAGGAUUUCCAAAGGUGAAUUGGCACACCCUAUUUAUGCCACGUGGAUACUCUAAGUUUUUGAAUAUAAAUAAUCCUUUUCAAAACAAAUCUUCUUUUUUGUCACUUCAAUAAUAAAACCCUUUCAAACCUUAAAAACUCAAACUAAUCUUUUUGGUUAAAAAAGGGGUGUGACAGUUCUGGCGACUCUGUUGGGAAUUUUUCAGAAUUCGAGCUUAUUUUGGAGUUGUAUCGGCUUAGUUUAACACUAUAGGUGUAUAGACAUUUUGUUUAUGUUGUUUUGUGUUAUUGUUUACCAUUGUUGAGUGACUACGUGCUCUUUGUUUACAGUUUUUACUUUAUGUCUUACCGCUUUAUAUCUGGCAUCAUGUGCAUAACCCGAGUCUUUAUUUAUGCAACAAGUUCGUAGUAUACGUGUGUACACAAUCUAUAGUUGAGUCACCCUUAUUUUAGGAGGGGGAGCCGUUGGGUUGUAUAGAGUAGGUGGACAACUAAAGCAAUCCACUAUCGACCAUACGCUCCCCCGAACACCCUUGUUAGUGGAUCCCAAUGUAGGUCAACCUUUAGGUCAUGCUUAUAUGCAUCAUAUUGAGACCUACCAGGACUCACGUGGCCCUUUCCAGGAGACUCACCUGUAAAGCAUCCCUACAUGCUAAAUGUUGCAUCUUUGAGGGUAACAUAGUCAUUUGACGGACUGAUUUGGGGAAAACAUGUGUUAAAAGUAAUGUGCAGAGGCAGGGAAUGUUGAGAAAAAAAUAGAAAAAAUAAAAGUGAAAAGUGAGUCGAAAAGAGAAAAAAGAGAGUUUUGUAGUUUUUAGUGUUCUUUAUGGCUUUUGUUUUCCACGAUUUCAAAAUUCAAAAAAAAAGUGUUUUUGUUUUUACUUUUGCACUCAUUUUUCAAAAAUAAAAAAAUACAUCAAAAAGAUUUUCCUUUUGUUUCAUUUAGCAAGCAUUCACAAUUCAAAAACUCCAAAACUAUUUUUUUAAGAGCUUUUUAUGAAAGAAAAAUUCAAAAAAAAGGUGGUAGAAGUUUAGUAAAUUUCAUAUAACGAAAAUACCAAAAAGAUUUUCUUUCAUAGCUGUUGAUGUCAUUUUUUAUGUGAAGUGUCAAAUAGAAAACUCAAAAUAAAAAGAUUUUGUUAUGUUGUUCAUCGUGUGUCUUUGGUCUUGUCUCAAGUCAGGGUGCAAUUUAUUAUUUAAUAAUUAAUUGUCUAAUCUGGACGAACUACGUACCCCUGAUUCUCCUAUUUUGGGAGUAAGAUACGUAGGCAACCUAUUAUAGGUUCGGGGAUCUUAUUUAAAAAAAUUUUAAAAGAUUUUCUUCACUCUUCAUUUAGAGUAGGUGUUUCAUACAGUUUUGAAAAGAAAAAUACAAAAAAAAAAAGGAUUUUCCUCAAUAAUCGUAGGUUUCAUUUUUGGUUGAUCUUAUUUCAAAAAAUCCAAAAAGAUUUUCUUCACUCUUUAUUAGAGUAGUUGUUUCAUAUACAUCUUUAAAAGAAAAUAACAAAAAUGAUUUUCCUUUAAUAGGCUCAAGUUUUGUUUUCGUAUGAAAUUCAAAAUCUAAAUUGCAAAAAGAUUUUCUUUGGUAUCAUAGGUUUCAUUUUGUAUAGGGAUUUUCAAAUCUGAAAAACUCAAAAAGAUUUUCAUCAAUUCUUUUGACAAUUUGUUAUUUUCUUUUAAAGUUUCAAGAAAAAAAAAAGGAAAGGAAAAAGAGUUUAAUUGUCCAUUUUGGCAAGACUUCACGAACUACGCACACAUGAUUCUCCUCUUUCGGGAGUGAGAUACGUACGCGCUCUUCUUGGGUUCGGUGAUCUUUUGUAAAAUGAUAAAAUAUAAAAAAAAAGGUUUUGAAAAAAAGGGGUUGAACUCUAAUGCAUUUGAUGUUUCUUUUAUUCAGUUAGUUUAAGGUGGUUGGUUUGUGGCAUUUUGGCAGGUCCUCUAUAGUGCACCAAGUUACAUAGAAAGUUGCCAACAAGGAUACCGAGUUUAUUGUCACUAAUUAGAUAGGGAGUUCGGGGAAUGAGAAUUUAGGAACUAAUGAAGAGAUUCAAAAAUUAAGGUAACAAAUGAUAGAAAUGCAUCGAGCUUGGGCUAAUGGGUUGUCGCCUCCUCCAGUUCUUAAUGAUAAUUUGGAAUAUCUUUCUAGCUUGCCUCCCGUGUCACAUGCACAAUUUUUUAUUUUUGUUGACAUGCCACAACAUGCAGCAGGGACUACUCCAGGACAACACUAUCCAAACACUUCCAAUAUUCCUUUCCUCACUCCUCAACAUAAAACUACCACUUACUAGGAUCCAUCUGUUGUUCAUGCUUUUGCAGCGCCACCCCCUCUUAAAGCUCCUACUUUUAAUUCCAAUCCAAUGGUUGUGAUUCCUCACUCUAAAAGUGACCCUGUAUUGAAUAUUUUAAGUGAUCAACAUUAUGCUCCCGAGCUCACAUUUAAGUCGACUGAUCCUUAUGUCUACACUCAUCCGCCUGAAUUUUCUCUUAUUGUCGAAAAGCCUGUUAUGAAAGAAGAACAAGAAGAAAUGACCAGAAAAUUGAGAAGAUUGGAACUGGCUAUGACGAAUCUCCAAGGGCCUGUGGGGUACAAAAGUAUCUCAUAUAAAGAUCUGUGCAUGUUUCCAGGUGUUCAUCUCCCUUUCGGUUUUAAGAUGCCAAAGUUUGAGAAGUAUGAUGGACAUGGGGAUUCGGUGGCACAUUUGAGAUAUUAUUUUCACCAACUAAGAGGCGCAAAACAUGGGGAUUCGGGUCUAGCUUUGGAAUGGUUUGUUGACCAAAACAGUGACAAGUGGAUCAGUUGGGAUGACCUAGCUAAUGGAUUUGUGCAACAAUUUUAAUACAAUAUGGAGUUAAUCCCUGACGAAAAAUCCCUACAUAGUAUAAAAAAGAAGAAUACUGAGAGUUUCAUGGAGUACGCGAUCAGACGGCGCCAACAAGCUGCUAGAGUAAAACCACUAAUGAAAGAAAGCAAAACAGUAGAGGUAUUUAUUCAAACGCAGGAUGAAACAUAUUAUCAACACUUGUUACCUGCAUUAGGCAAGUCAUUUAUUGAGGUCCUUAAAAUGGGGGAGAUGAUAGAAGAGGGAAUUAAGACUGGUCGCAUUAUGAGUUUUGCAACAUUGAAAGCAACAAUCAAGAAAUUCAAAAGGGUUCAGAAAGUGUUGGGGAGACAAAGAAUGAGGAAUUUGCAUCUUCUAUUGUAGUUGGACAGCGGCCACGGUCAAGAAGAUCCCAUUGUCAUCACUCUCAGGCUCAAACCCAAGUUCAUGCCUAAGCUCCACAUAAUCACUCAAAAAAUCCAUUAUACUCUGCUCCUCUACCUCCGUAUCCAUUAUAUAACACACAGCCAAAUGUUCAACCCCCAUGUUACCCAAAGUGGAACACACUAACUCCCCAGAGUCAUCCUAUAACUCCACAAACAUAUCAAAACCCUUCUAAGCCUGAUUUCUGAUCCAAGCCAAAUGAUGAAAUGAGGCAGAAGUCGAGAGAUCACUUCAAACCAAUUCGAGUGUCGUAUGCCAGUUUAUUUUAGAUAUUGGUAUAAUGGGGCAUGAUCACUUCUCUCCUUGGUUUCACUCUUAAUCGGCGUUCAAGAAAUUUUGAUCCUAAUGUACGAUGCACAUAUCAUUCUGAUGCUCAGGGUCAUAGUAUUAAAGAUUGUCGAGAUUUGAAAAGAUAAAUUUAAAAGAUGAUUCAAUAUGGAUUAAUUAUGGUGUAGAACAUUGACAGUGUGGGAAGCUCUAGUCAUGCUGAUAUGCAAACCAGUGGCUAAGUUGUCAGGCUGAACAAUUGAGAAGUCACCCCUCUCCCUACUAGGAACAGGUCUAGUAGGUUUUUUGUUUUCUUUUCUGUUUUUAAAUUAUUUCAGGGUUGUAGCUUGGGAUCUAUAUUGUUUUGUCCUUUUGUCAUUUAGGUUCAAACCCUUCUAUCCUUUAUUUCAACUAAAUGAAUUUUCCCUUUUCCUUUGUGUUUUAAAUAUGUGUUGUUUGUUUGUUUUCUUUAUACAGUACAUUUUAUGUUGACUCUAGUGAUAUGACAUGCUUGUGGAAUUUCAACCAGAUCUUAAAAUCCAAUUUAACCAUGAAACAUUGGAUCAGAGCGCUAAAGUUAGGAGAAACAUUUGAGAAAAUAGUAGACUGCUAAGACAUUUGGUGACAAGUUCAAGCCUUCUUUGAAAAUUAAGGCCAUUUAUUUUGAGAAUCACAAGAAUAACUUGGUUAUCAAUUGAAAUACAUAUCUCAAUUAGGUCAAACAGUGUCUGCAUGAUCCUAUCAAGAGGAAUAGAAAGAAAAUCAACUCCACGAAAGCAUGAGUCAUUCAAAGUGAGGGAUGUACAACAAAUGUGGACUUGUAUGUUUGAAAAGUAUAGAAAAAGAGGUGACACACAUUCUUGGGGAAAGUUAGUAUUGUAAAACAUGUCAUAAGUGAUGUUGAUCGUGUACUUUCACAUUGCAUGCUAUGUACUAGUAUUUUCAAGGAUUGAUAUGAUGAAGUCAUUUUAUUCUGCUAUCCAAACAUUGUGUCAUCCUUUGUUUACCCCAUUUGAUCCUUAGUGUUAUUUUAUUUCAUACUCCUCUUUUGGAAUCAAGAUAAAGCUAGCAAAGCUCAAAAGAAAAGUAUCGAGCAAAAUAAUAGUCAGAAAAGUUCAAAAAAAAAUAAGAACAAAAAUGUGUCCAAAAAAAAAGACGAAAAAAAUUAGAGUUAGAAAAAUCACAAAGAAAAAAAAAGUAAAAACAAAAAAGAAGAACAAAUCAGAAUCAAGCAAAAAAAGAAUAAGAUACCAGAACUACCCAUGACCUGAUUCUCCUCUCUCGGGGGUGAGAUACAUAGGCUACCCUACUCCUGGCUCGGUCCAACCAAAUAAAUAAUAUAGUCACCUAGUCAAAAUAAACUAGGGCAUAAUUUAAUCCUCAUUGUUUGAGUCGAUUCUAAAAGUUGUAAGUCCUACCCCACUUCAAGUGUUGUUUGGGCCUCAUGUCAUCCUUUCUUCUAACCUUAUCCAAAAGUCAAGUUACAACCAAAGAAAAACCUUCAUAUCAAUCUCUAAGAAUGCUAAGGCUAAGCAUACAAUGGAUAUGAUGACAUAUUUUGGGAACUACUCGUCUUUCUCAGCAUAAGAAAUCAGGAGAGAAAUAAAAAUGAGAGAGUCUUAUUGAUAAAAACCCUCACGAGCACCAUAAGGCGAUGGUAAGUUGAGAGAGAUAAAAUGAGAGUCUAUUUGGUGAAAACUCCACGGGCACCAUAAGGCAAUGGUGAGUUGAGAGAAAAAUGAGAUAGGUUUGUUGGCAAAAAUCCUUCAAUGUACCACUAGCCGAAUGAGCUCUUCGAAUGCAAUGGGUCCAAGCAAGUAACUCAGUUUCAGAGCCAUUAACUCAAGAAUAAUUGGUAGAAAGCUUGGAUAGAAAGAUCAGGUAGCUUGAUCCAAAAUGCAUGGCAUAAUCAUUAGCGUUGACUGCCAUUUCUAGAUAAAUUUUUCAUUUCUUUAUUUCAAAUGGGGACAUUCAUUGUCUUUUCUUUCUUUUUUUUAUUUUUUAUUUUAUUUUGUUUAGUCAGUUGUCCAAAUAAAAAUCAUUGUCAUUUUUUUCUCUCGUUCUUGAGUCAAGUCCAUAUCAAAACAAGUGAGAAAAGAUUUCAAAACUGGCUACCAGCUUCUUCAAUUGUGCAAAGCAAGACAAAAGGCCAACACAUGAAAGAGACAUAAUUGUGAGACGAAAUAAGGCAUGCAGAAAGUUAUGUCAACCGACAAGUCUGGGAACUCAUGGAAAUAACAAGGUUCAAAGGGUUUAUCUGAGAAGCAUGACAAAGCAGAGAUACACUCUUAAUAAUCUGAGUUUGGGUUAAUGAUGCAGCAAGCCAGUGACACAUGCUAAUGGUUGAAAGCAAGAUUAAAUGUGAUAGGGGAAAGAGCGAUUUACAUGAAAGCCAAAGCCAUAAACCAUCCACCAUGUUUUUAAACAAACAAGUUUUCUUAGUAUGAAACAGGAACACAUGCUACCUUCGAAUCAAGGAUUGCAAAUCCUAAACAUCAAAGGCCGUAAUAGUCUCACUUAUACAAAUUCAAGAGGCAAUGUUGCUGCACAGAUUUGGUAUUUAAAACCAUGGUAAAACUCAUAAUCCAAUAUCUCUGGGAGACAUACUUCCUUAUUUGGGUAAUUCAAGCAACAUUUGUAAGGAGACGCACUUUCUUAUUUGGGUGAUUCAAGCAACAUUUGUAAGGGUACGCACUUCCUUGUUUGGACAAUUCAAGCAAUAUUUGUAAGGAUACGUACUUCCUUAUUUGGGUAAUUCAAGCUACAUUGGUAGGAAGAUGCACUUUCUUAUUUCGGUAAUUCAAGCGGCAUUUGUAAGGAGACACACUUCCUUGUUUGGGUAAUUCAAGCUACAUUGGUAGGAAGACGCACUUUCUUAUUUCAGUAAUUCAAGCGGCAUUUGUAAGGAGACACACUUCCUUGUUUGGGUAAUUCAACCGGCAUUUGUAAGGAGACGCACUUCCUUAUUUGGUGAAUUCAAGCAAACAUUUGUGAGGAGUUACACUUCCUUGUCUGGAUAAUUCAGAUAACAUUUGUAAGGAGACUCACUUCCUUGCUUGGAAAAUUCAAGAAAUAUUUGUAAGGAGACACACUUCCUUGUUUGGUAAUCCAAGUGGGAUUUGUAAGGAGACACACUUCCUUGUUUGGAAAUUUAAAGCAACAUUUGUAACAAAAUACACUUCCUUGUUUCGGUAAUUCAAGUGGCAUUUGUAAGGAGAUGUACUUCCUUGUUUUUGGGUAAUUCAACCGGCAUUUGUAAGGAGACGCACUUCCUUGUUUGGACAAUUCAAGUAAUAUUUGUAAGGAGACGCACUUUCAUGGUUGUUAAUUCAAGUGGUAUUUGUAAGGAGACACACUCCCUUGUUUGGACAAUUCAAGCAACAUUUGUAAGAAGACAUACUUUUUUGUUUUGGUAAUUCAAGUGGCAUUUGUAAGGAGACGCACUUUCUUGUUUUGGUAAUUCAAGAGGCAUUAGUAAGGAGACGCACUUCCUCAUUUGGACAAUUCAGGAAAUAUUUGUAAGGAGACACACUUUCUUGUUUGGGAAAUUCAAGCAACAUUUGUAAGGAGUUGAACUUCCUUGUUUGGGCAAUUUAAACAACAUUUGUAAGGAGACGCACUUCCUUGUUUGGACAAUUCAAGCAACAUUUGUAAGGAGCCGCACUUCCUUGUUUGGAUAAUUCAAGCAACAUUGGUAAGGAGACACAUUUCCUUGUUUUGGUAAUUUAAGCGGCAUUGGUAAGGAGACACAGUUCCUUGUUUUGGUAAUUUAAGAGGCAUUGGUAAGGAGACGCACUUUCCUAUUUAGGUAUUUCUAGCAACAUUUGUAAGGAGACGCACUUUCUUAUUUGGAUAAUUCAAGCAGCAUUGGUAAGGAGACACACUUCCUUGUUUUGGUAAUUUAAGCGGCAUUGGUAAGGAGAUGCACUUCCUUGUUUUGGUAAUUAAAGCGGCAUUGGUAAGGAGAUGCACUUUCUUUUUUGGGCAAUUCAAGAAACAUUUGUAAGGAGACGCACUUCCUCAUUUGGGUAAUUCAAGCAACAUUGAUAAGGAGACACACUUCCUUAUUUUGGUAAUUUAAGUGGCAUUGGUAAGGAGACAGAGUUCCUUGUUUUGGUAAUUCAAGAGGCAUUGAUAAGGAGACGCACUUUCCAGUUUGGGUAUUUCUAGCAUCAUUUGUAAGGAGACGCAAUUCUUUGUUUGGGUAAUUCAAGUGGCAUUUUGUAAAGAGACGCACUUCCUUAUUUGAGUAAUUCAACCGGCAUUUGUAAGGAGAUGCACUUAUUUGUUUUGGUAAUUCAAGCAAUUUCUGUAAGGAGACGUACUUCCUUAUUUGGGUAAUUCAAGCGGCAUUUUUAAGGAGACGCACUUCCUUGUUUUGAUAACUCAAGCAACAUUGGAGCCCGCCCGAAGUACAAGGCGAAUAAAUGAAAAUUCAAGAAAAAAGGUGAAACAAUUGAAAGCCAAGUAACAAAUUAAAAAAUUGUAAGUCAGGAGCCCGCCUGAAGAAUAGGGUGAUGAAACUCAAGUCAAGAGUUCAAAAGAAGCUGCAUAGAUAGGACUCUUGUAAUUUUAUUUAUCUUUUUAACUCUUGUAAUUUUUCAUUUUUUGAUGUAAUGACAGAGUCGCGAUCGGAACCUCGAUGGUACCUCACUCGACUCUACAACUCGGUAUAGUCCAUCUCCUUCCAAUCCUUUGAGAUACCUGUCACUUGAUUCCCUCAUAACUUGGGUAGGUAGGAUGUCCUAAGUCAAGACUUGGUGUCCCUCCUUCCUUCUGUUUCAUUCUUUUAAUAAUGGUCGGAACAAAAUUCUAUCCCGUUGUCUACUUCUUUAUCUGAGAACACUUCAUGUUUACAUUCAAAAGGGGCAUGCUGUAGACACCUAAUUUUGUUCCGUCAAAAAUAUUUCUUGUUCUGAUAUCACACAAUUUAACCCCAUUCUUAUAAUUUUUCCCAAAGAAAAUAAAUAACCACCUCAUCUUUUAUUUAUUUAUUUAUUUAUUUAUUUAUUUUUGUUUUUUUAUCCAAAAAUAAUAAGUCAUAACAAACUUUAUCUCAUUCGAACAUUCCAACAAUCCACCCAAUCAAAAAUGGACACCUAACCCCUACCCCUCCAAUUAAAAAAAAAAAAAACACCUCACCACUCACCAAACCACCUCACCACCACCCCCUCCACGUGACCCUUUACCUUUUUUUGUUUACACGUUUUCUUUCCAUCUCCAUAUAUAGAACAAGACAAUACACAAAAGAGGAGGAUUCAUUGGGAGCCUACAGAAUAACAAAAAACACAAAACAGCACCAUCACCUCACAAUUUCAUAGGCACACAAUCAUCUUCUUCACGAUAUAUUCACUCACAUUAACUGAUAAGAAGGAGGAGGAGAUACUCACCCUUAACACAACCUCACACCCUCUCCAUUUUCUCCAUUGAUUACACAAAAAGAACACUACACACAGAAAAUGAGAUAGAUCAAGAGAGAGAGUAGUAGAGAGGAAAGACGUGAAAAAAAAAGAGGAAAAAAGAUCUGGGUUUCUGUCCUUUUCACCUUCAUCCACUCCCACACAUGAAAAACACACGCACAUGAUGCACACAGUGAAACCAACAAAAAAAUAAGCAAAAAUGGUAUGAGAAUCGAAGGAGAAAAUAGAAUUCGGGUUUCUGGUUAGUAUUCCGGCAACCUCUUCAUCGGAAUCUCAUCGUUCUCUUUUGAUUUUUAGGUGAAUCUAAUCAGGAAAUGUUAAUCUCUCCAGAAUCUAUCUUGAUUCAUCGUUACUGCCGCUGUCUAGGCUCACCGGAUCUUAGGCUACACUGAGUUCGACUUUCUGUUGCAUAGUUGGAGUGUUGGGGUUCAUCUGUUUUCAUGUUUCAUCGUUGAAACCGGGUUUCCAUCUUGUCGAAUUGCUUAGAUUUGGUUUUAUUUUUAUUUUUGGGUUUUUAAGAUUCGAAUUUCAUCUUUCUAUUCGGAGAUUUUCUAUUGCCGUUCGGAGUUGUUGAUUCGGAAGUUUAUAAUUGAGUUUGGUUUCCCUAAUUAAAAUUUAUUCGGAUUGGGAUUGGCGAUAUCGAGUUGUAUCUUUGUCAUUUUUGAAGCUCGAAGUCGAGGUUACCGGCCGCGGUUCUAUCUCCGAUAUAUUAAAAGCGACACUUGAGGUCCAAUUCUAUCUUCUCUUUAAUUUUUUUUGUGAAUAUGAAUGAUUUGUUAUUUGAUAUGUUUGAAUCUUUGUUUUUAUGUUGGUUGAUGUUGGAUUUGAAUGUAGAAACUUGGAUUAGUAGUCGAAGAAUUGAUUAAUUAUUUUGAGAAUGAAUGCGGGAAGGGGUUCAUCUCGAUAAAAAUAAAUUUGGAUAAUUUUUAAUUCAUUGAUGAUGUUGAAAUGUGAUAAGAAUCAUGAUAGGUUGAGUUGGAUAGGAAAAUAGUAGGAUCGGGUAGGCAAAUUUAGAACUUUUGGAUUGUUGAAAAUAUUUGUUGAACGGUUUUAUUUUAUGAAUUUGGAUCGAUGGUAUUCAUUAGCCGGGGAAUGCCCCGAUGUCACAUUUGUAUUCAUUCAUCGGGGAAUGCCCCGACGUAUCAUGUACUCAGAGGACGCCCGUGAUGAAGGCCCAAAGCAUCAGGCAAGGCAUUGGAGCAUAGUUUAGGAUUAGCGUAGGUUACCGUAGGUUUACUUUUCAGUACCUUUUUCAUUUUGGGUUGUAAUAAUUUGAUCGGACACUAUAUUUUUGGACUGGUUUUGUUUGUUUGAUUGAUCAUUUUUGUGUGUUUUUGUGUGGUUUGUACAUUUUGUAGUAUCAAAUUAUCUGAUAUGCUCCACCAAGCGACUAUGGUCGAACCACGGGAUCGAGAGGUGUCUAACACCUUCCCCUCGGUCAACAGAAUUCCUUAACCGAAAUCUCUAUUCGCGGAUCAGUCUAAAAGAGUCAAAAUUGUUUUUUUUUUCAAAAGAUUUUCCAAAGUGACUUGGUACACCCGAUUUAUGCCAAGUGGCGACUCUGAGUUUUUGAAUAUAAAUAAUUCUUUUCGAAACAAAUCUUCAUUUUUUUCACUUUAAUAAUAAAACCCUUUCAAACCUUAAAAACUCAAACUAAUCUUUAUGGUUGAAAAAGGGGUGUGACAUGGGUCUUAAAGAUCUACCCAGCAUGCCAGGUGCCAAUAGAAGGGAUUAGUUGAGAGAUUUUUAGAUCUUUCAAAACAUGUGUUCACAAGCGGAGGCCUCAUGCCACACACUGUCUCAUUUUGUGGUUUCUAAGAGCACUAUAAAAAAAUCCAGUGGAUGUAGAAAAGCCCAUUAAUUUUUUCUUUAACUUUCCACAAAAUGAUUCGAAUAUUUGUCCUGUACAAACUAAAACAAUUUCCUCUCCUACCCCACAAUCAAUUUCUUCAAGUAAAGGAUCCUCCUCAAAUGAUCCGACAUAUUUAAAAAAAAUGAUAGUGUUUUGCCAAUAAUCCAAAUUAAAGUUGAGUAUUGACACUCCAACCUUCAAGAGGUAGCUAAGCAAAUAUUUAGCCCUGCAACAAAUUUUAUUCAAAAAACUCCUGCACAUGCCUAGAAGUUUUAUGAAUUCAUACUAACAGACACCAAAUCCUGUUUGUUCAAACCCCACAAAGACAAACAAACCCAGUCUUAUGUUACCCAUACCACAGUUUGGAUUAACAAAAUCAUCUUACCAUAAGAGUGGGGUACGCAUCCUGCAAAAUAUCAAAAGUUUACUGAGGCUUUUGAACCCCAAUAUUAUAAUUAUUUUGAUUAUCAAAGAGCGUAGAUGAAUGAAUUCACCUUCCAAAAUAAAACUAACAAACAUUCUUGAUUUUUACUCUAGGAAAAACAACUAGCUUCAGAAUUCUCCAGUGGUUUCUAGACCAAUGGUGGCCAAUUUUUGGCCACACCUUUGAGAUCCUUCCUCCCCAGUCUGAUAAGGAUACAAAUAUUUUACCCAAAUAUAUCAUGAUGACCAUCAAAUUUCUUUGCUUUUAUAGUUUUUCCACAAGUUUCAUGUUCCUUGGAUAUUCCAUAGAAAUUCGCCUUUCAUAAGCCAGAGGGGCACAAAGGACUUCCAUGGUUAUCCAUCUAGGGCUAUUGCAAAUGAUACAAGAAUUGGGAUCCGACGGAAGCCUACGUAUCGGAAGUAGAAAAGUUGUAUCAGAUACCAAGUACACGGAAGUGACCCCCCCCCCCCAAAAUAUAGAGGGAAAUACGGCAAAAGAGGCUAAGGAAAUGAAGCAAGUUAGUAAUGACACAAUAAAUUAGGUGGCAGGACCGACCAUAUGUUAAUGAUGCAACUAUUAAAUAAAAUAAAGAAAGAACACAGAUUAUAAAAAUUAAAUUUUGAUAUUAAUAUCAAAAAUAAAUUUGAAGAUUACAAAUAGAGAGAGAGAGAGAAAAUUCUAGCCAAGUAUUCUAGAGAGAGCUUCUUCCAAAGAAAAUAAUGUGUUCUCCUCAAGAAGAGGAAUGGGCUAUUUAUAGCCAAAAUAUGCAACAGUAAAAAUUGCUACAGUGAUCUACAAUAACAUCCACCAUAAUUGAGCUACCGAAACAUUGACUAUAAUUUUUCAGCAAUUGUUUGCUGAUGUCAUGCAUGACAUCAAUGUUUUGAUUACUCCUUGAUGAUGUCAAUUUGAUGUCGAAUUGACUGAAUAUCUUCUUCAUCAUCCAUGUCUGAUUUUUGUAGUUGAAAAUUGAUUGUUGGAAAUUUCAUCUUUAGUUUGUUAGAGAAGUUUUUUCAUUUGUUGAAUGAAAUCUACUCGGCUACCUGACUUAGCCAAUUGUGGGGUUGCAAUUGAUUUUUGUUGUAGAAAUGAGAUUUAAGCGGCGUCUGUUGAGGUCAAACAUCCAAGAUUGCGUAGGAACCACUUUUCUACUUUUGGUACGUAAGCUUCCGUCGGAUCCCAAUUCUUGUACUAUUUGCAAUAGCCCUGGAGGGAUAACCAUGGAAGUCCUUUGUGCCCCUCUAGUUUAUAAAAGGCAAAAUUCCAUGAAAUAUCCAAGGAAUAUGAAAGCUAUGGGAAAAUUAUAAAAGCAAAGGAAUUUGAUGAUCAUCAUGAGAUCUUUGGGUAAAAUAUUCAUAUCCUUCCUGGACUAGGGGAGGAAGGAUCUCAAAGUUGUGGCCAAAAAUUGGCCACCAUUGGUGAAGAAACCACUGGAGGAAUUCCGAAGCUAGUUGCUUUCCCCAGAGUAAAAACCAAGAAUGUUUGUUAGUUUUAUUUUGGAAGGUAAAUGCAUUCAUCCACGCUGUUUGAUAAUCAAAAUAAUUAUAAUAUUGGAGAUCAAAAACCUUAGUAAGCUUUUGAUAUUUUGUAGGAUGCAUACCCCACUCUUUUGGUGUGAUGAUUUUGUUAAUCCACACCAUGGUAUAGGUAACAUAAGACUGGUUUUUUUUUCUUUAUGGGGUUUAAACAAACAAGAUUUGGUGUCUGUUAGUAUGAAUUCAUAAAACUUCUGGGUAUGGGCAGAAGUUUUUUGGAUAAAAUUUGUUGUCGGGCUAAGUAUUUGCUUAGCUACCUCUUGAAGGUUGCAGUGCCAAUACUCAACUUGAAUUUGGAUUAUUAAUAAAUCACUAUCAUUUUUGAAAUAUGUCGGAUCAUCUGAGGAGGAUCCUUUACUUGAUGAAAUUGUUUAUGGGACAGGUAAAGAAAUUAUUUUAGUUUGUACAAGACAAAUAUUUGAAUCAUUUUGUGGAAAGUUAAAGGAAAAAUUAAAGGUGUUUUCUACCUCCACUUGAAUUUUUAUGGUGCCCUUAGCAACAACAGAAUUAGAUGAUGUGUGGCUUGAGGCCUCCACUUGUGAACAUAUAUUUUUGAAGAUUUGAAAAUCUCUCAGAUAAUCCCUUCUGUUGGCACCUGACAUGCUGGGUAGAUCUUCAAGACCCAUAAGUAGACGCUAUUAUUUAAAAUUUUCUUCUGUCUGGAGGACAGGCAUUGUUUGAGCUAAUUGAGUCUCUUCGUCUUCUUCAUCGACCAAAUCAACACAUUUCUUGGUGUUGGAAAUUGAAAUUGGAUUUGUACUUGAUUGCAUUAGGAAAAAUUAUGGUAAUCCCGGAUUGCCAUAAUCAGCUAAGGUUUGAUAGCAUGGCUGGUUUGUGUCAGCUACUACAUUUUGAAGUUGCUUUGGUGCAACUGAAGUUUUUUGCUGUGGUGUAACAGCUUUUUUGGUGGUCUCUUCUGGAGAUGGAAGGGCUAGAAUUUGUGGAGGUGGAGAUUCUUUUUUUUUCUGGGCAUCUUAUCUUCCCUGCAAGAAUUCCCUGGUAAGAAAAUCUAGUAUAGAGUUGGAGCUCCUUUUGAUAUAUUCAAUAUCAAAAUCAAAAACAAAUAAAAUUGCCUAGAAUCUAGCUAAUAUAUGUUUAGAGGCAAGGUUUUGUACAUCUAUUUGUAAAAUGGAUUUCGCCGCUUUACAAUCAAUCCUUUGUAAAUUUUUUUGAUUUAACAAAUCAACUUGAAAUUUGAAAAUGCAUAACACAGUUGCUAAAAUUUCUUUUUUGAUAGUAGGAUAAUUUUGCUGAGUUUUAUUCCAAUGUUUGGAUGCAAAUGCAACUAUAUAUUCUUUAUCAUAUUUCUUUUGUUUUAAAAUAGAACCAUAUCCUAUGUAUGAUGCAUCUGUUUCAAAUAUUUUGAAUGACAAGGGAACGGGGAGGGAUAGGCAAGGGAGGUCUUUUUCCUUUAAUUUGAUUUCUUUGACUACAUUGGUAUGAAUUUGAGUCCAUGGAGGAGAAGGCUUUUUCAACCUGUCGUGGAGAGGUUUCAACAGAUUGUUGAGCCCGGGAAUAAAAUCUACUAUGUAAUUAACGCAUCUUAAAAAUCGUUGAAGUUGAGUUUUAUCAAGAAUUUGAUCGGGAAAUUUGUCAGCAAAUUGGAUGGACAUUUGAAUUAGGGAAACAGUACCAUUACAAAUUUUUUGGCCGAGGAAUCUGGUACCGACUUGAAAAACACUACACUUAGUUUAUAACAAAACUAAGCCAUUAUCUUUGAUGAUAUUAAAGAAGACAAGUAAAUGUUUAAAAUGUUGAUCAAAGCUGGUGGAAAACACUAAAACAUCAUCAAUAUACAUGAGAAUGAAUUUUGAAAAAGGACUAAAAAUGUCAUUCAUUGUUUUUUGAAAUUCAAAAGGAGCAUUUUUUAAGCCAAAGGGAAUUAUGUUCUAUUCAUAUUUCCCAAAUGGUACUGUAAAAGCAGUUUUAUAAUGAUCUCUUGGAUCAAUUUGGAUUUUCUAAAAUCCUGAUUUUAGAUCAAACUUGGAAAAAAAUUGUAGCAGCAUAAAGCCGUUGGAGAAGAUCCUUUUUAUUAGGAAUAGGAUAUCCAAUCCAUUGGAGGACGGAAUUGAAAGUUUUGUAGUUGAUAACCAAAUGAGGGGCUCCUCAUUUGAUUUUAAAACUUUUAUUGACAUAGAAGGUGGCACAACUCCGUGGAGAUUUACUUGGUGAGAUGAUCUAUUUUUGGAGAAGAUCAUUGAUUUCCAUUUUACAAUGGAUUUUCAUCUCAUGAUUCAUUUGAAUUGGACGAGCUUUGGUAGGAAUGGUUUUUCCAUCAAAGUAAGGCUCGUAAGGAAGCCUGACCAUAAGCUUUUUGCGAUUUCAAAAUGUUGUGGGAAGGUCAGCGCAAAGCUCUUUUUUAAUGUUUGUUUCUAAGGCCCAAACCUUAAAUUGAAGAUAAGGUUCCUGAAGUUGUUUCUCCAGUCUUCGGAAUGCAAUUUCUUCUUUGAGAAAAUUAAUUUGAGCCUCUUUGUUUUUUAGAGAGGAUAAAAUUUUCUGAAUGGGCGGUUUGUCAAAUGGGAGAAACAUAUUGUUGGCAUCAAUAGUUAUUCCUGUAUGAGUAACCUUGAAAGGAAUUAAAGUUUCAAUAAAGAGGGUGCCUAGUAUUACAGGACAGAUUAUAUCCUUUACUAGAACAAUGAAAGUAGAGGAUGAAAAAAGCGAAUUUCCUAGGGAAUUUCGUAUUUUGACAUCAGAAAGUUUGUAACUUAUUCUUAGUUUACUAUCAUUUGCAGACCUAAGGGCUUCCGCAGAUUUUUUGAAGUACUUAUUAGGGAUAAGUCCUUCUUGGACACAAUUGAGGUCUGCACUUGUAUCAAACAAGGAAAUGAUAUUUAGGACAAAUUAUAUGUUGAUAACCAAGGUUAUCCAAGUGUGCUAUCUUUUGAUGGUAACCUUUGAAAUGUAUUGAACAAGGAAAUCUCCCUCUUCAAUAUUCAAAUCCAAUGGGUCAGUGACGUCUACCAGCUGAGACUGUUCAGCCUUCAUAGAGAAUUGUUGGAGGACAAGGUGAUAUAAGUCUUGUCUUGCUUUGAUUUGUCUAAUUUCCUCUUUAAGGGGUACUAUCUCAGAUUGGAGGUCUUGAAUAGUUACUACCCUAGGUUUACUAGAAGAAAACUGCUUCAGUACAUCAGUGAUAUUGUAAGUAUUUGUAAUCUGGGGAUGAGAAAAUACACUAGAUGAAGAUGUAGAAGGCUGGUCUAGCGUCUUUUUGAAUUAGUCUAAAUAAUAUUUCUUUUGAUCGAAAUUUUGUAAAUUGAUACUUAUUUCUAAGAGGAGAUCUUGUUCUUUUUUUAGAACAUCAAUCUUUGGUUGGUAUUCUUGACCAGACUGGGAAGAUUCCAAGUCAUCAUUUUGGAUUUGGUUGAAUUCCUGAUCAAAUUUGUCAUUAGCACUAUCUGAAUCUUCGCUUUCUUCUAAUAAGAAGUAUUGGAUUUGGCUAAGGACAGAAUCAUCAAGGUUGAGGUUUCUAACUUUUUUAGAUAAUUUACAAUAUUUGGCAAUAUGACCAGACUGCCCACACCUUUAACAUUUGCCACUAUAGGGGGCAGGAAGAGUUGGUGUUACUGUCUGGUUUCUUUUAGGAUAGGAUGGUUUUGAUUUUCGGGAAAAAUUAGGCUUGGUAGUAGAAACUUCCCAUUUUGAGGUUGGUUUUCUAUAAGUCUUCUUCCUACAAUAGGGGAGGCCAAAUUGUUCACCGAGACUUCCAAAAUCUCGAUGGGUUUGAGCCCUGUCUUUAGCGAGUUGCCUUAGUAUCUUAUCUUACCGACAAAUUUUUAAGUCAACUUGCUGAACUAGGAAUGUGAGCUGACCAUAAGUGAUUUGAUCAUUUGGAAUAAUCUCGUUGGAUAUUGGUUUUGAAGAUCUUCUUUGACUAUGUCUCUAAGGGGCUUAGGCAAUCCAUCCAGGAAUUUUUCUUUUCAAUGUGGGAGGUUCCAUCAGGUAUUUCAUAGAUCCUCAUAAGAAAAGCAUCUUUGUACCACCUGAAAUAAGAAAGAGUUUUACACUUAAGAUUGUUUAGUACUUCAGAGGAUCUUUCUCUAAAGAUACCUGGACUACCGAUGAGGGUUUUGAUAAUAGUAUAAAUCAAUGUAUUUGUGCAAUCAGGAAUGGUUUCUCCAUCCCCAAGAAUUGGUUCUCCUAAGGAGUCUACACGGACACUUUAUAAGAUACUUUGUUUAUAUUUCUCACUAAGAUGGGUAUCCCAAGCUGGCCUAUGAACCCAGCUACUAGGACAUAGGCAGUGAGUUGAUCUGAGUAGUUGUGGGCAGUUCUAUAAGCAGUGGAAACCAUUGUCAUCUGCUGAAGUUUGGAAAGGAUGUUAUACUCAGAACAACCACCUAUUUUCCAUUCAUAGAUAUUAUUGGCAUUGUAGUUAGUCUGCAUAACAUAAGGUCUUUCUUCUAAAGCUACAUCUAGAGGAGUGGCUCUAGGGUAAUAAAGUUUUUGUGGCUUUCUCCAAUUGGAAGAUUCAGUUUUAACAGGAGCUAUUUCUAGAGGAGGUUCUUCCUAUGGCUGGCUAUCAUCCAAACUAUCCUGUUGGAGAACCCCAACUGUAGUAGACGAGCCAACACUGGGGUCUCAGGAAUGUCUAAGUGAAGGGAUUUCUCAAUUUGGAUGAUCCUCCGCUGGUUUGUUUCCAGCCUUUCUUUUGAAAAGUGAAGCAACAAUUGAGCUAUUGGCAUGAGAAAUUGCAAAACCUUGUGAUGGAGAAAGUUCAGCGGUGAUGUCCGCACCAUUUAUGGUUUUCCAUACUUAUGAAACAUUGAUUGAUUUAGAACAAGAAAAAUCUAAUUGAUGAUAUUUAGCAUAAGCCUUUAACCAUUCAAAGAAAUUAAUUUAGUUUUGGACAGAAUUUAGAAAUUCAUAAUAAAUUUCUUGAAUAUUUUUUUGUCAUCUUUCGUGAAAUUAGUAAAAAAUCAAGUCUGUUUUAAAAUAUUUCCAGAUGAAUAAAAUUCUGUUCCAAGAGUUUUCUUAUCAAUGUGAAAAUCUUGACUUAAAACCCCCAGUUCUGCGCCUAAGUCUGGGUAAGUUGGAGAUUGGGGUGGAUCAUCAUGGAUAUCAUUGGGAGGUGUUUCCACAGAAUAUUUAGCUUGUGGAAAUCUAGAUUCGAAGUUAAUAGUCUCAAUUCUAGAAGGAAAUGAGGAAACUGAAUUCCUAGUCGUCUGUAUCUCAGGGAGAACAGAUGAGGAGCCAGAGAUUCGUUGGCUUUGAGAUCUUUGGAAAGAAAUAGAAACAGUUCCAAAGGAGAACUAUCGGAUCUGAGAAACAGUAGUAUUCUCAAGUUUGUCUGCUGGGCUGUACCUUUCAACAUCCAACUCUGGGGCAAGGAUACUUGCUUCCAGGAGAUCUGCUUGGUAACUGACAAGUGAGACCGUUGAAGGCCAGUUUGGAAUAAUAAGAUUUUUCCUUUGUAGCUGUUUUUCAUAGAUCAGGAGCUAAAGUCAGUACCCAUGGCCUUAUACUGAACUCUAUAAAUGAUUGCUAUUGGGAGAGAUCUAUAUUUGAUUUUGUAAUUGGAUGUCUUAACAUUGAGUGUUAAAGAAUCUAAUAUAUUUAGAUCCUUUAAGAAAACGAUAAAAUUUAGAAAACAGUCAAAAUAAAUUGGACCAUUACAAAGACUGUUUUCGACCAUUCCUAGUAAGGAAUCAUUGAAGUCUAGGAACCUAGAGUCCCUAAGACAAAGGAGUGGAGAUGUAUCUAAACCUUCUCGUGAAAGAGGUUUAGCUGCUAUUUGGACUAGGCCGAAAUGGAGGCAAUCGUACUUACGCUUACAUAUUUCGAUAGUCUUGGGUUGAGAAGCUUGAUAUCCUCAUGAUCUGAUUCAAGAGAGAUAGUUUUUUUGAUAGUGAAAUAUGGUAAUCACUUGUUUAGAGAUCACCAUCUGGAGGGAGCUUUGUAAAUUUGGUCUUGAGGAUGCCUGGGAAUUUUCCAGUCAUCAAUUGUUUGCUGCAAAUUAGAGAAACUGAUCUCUUCCUUGAGUUUUGAACUUGGAGAAUUGUAGAAUGUUGAAGCGGAUGAAGAGGAUAAGAGUUCUUAGAAGUAGAAGAGAAGGGACGACAGAAACCCAUAGAAGAAUUUAAACAAUACACAAUUAAUAACAACAAUAUUAACUUAUAAGCUUCUUAUCCUUGGAUCAAGAGACUAUUGAGUUCCAUAAUGAAAAAUUUUCAAGUACUUAAUUCAAUAUUAUAUGGAAGAGUCAAAUCUGGUAAUUAAAUUGGUGAAAUCUUGCCUCAAUACUAUAUGUUUUAGCUAGAUCCAUUUUAUCUAAAAGGUUCAUUAGUCAGAUAGUCCAAAGGUUAUAAAUAACCAUCUAUAAGUCCCUAAGUCUCCACCUGCAAUCCAGUCAUAAAUGCUUAGGUUAAACAACCUACAAUGUAGAUCUGAAAGAUCAGAGUAAUAUCUUCAAAAUAAUCCUUUUAUAAAAUAAAUCUCUUUAAGUCUAAUAGAUUAAGUCAAGUUUUACCAUUCAUAUUAAAGAUCUAACAGUACUAUAUAAUAGCAAGUUAAAAAAAGAGUAAUAAUCUUUACUUUCCCCCAUGGCUCUGAUACCAUGUAUAUAUAUAUAUAUUUCUAACAAAAAAUAAUAAAAUAUUUUAAAAAGAAUUAUAUAUUAAAUUUUGUGACAAAUUAAACUAAAACAAGAUCGAAGGGGAGUAAUGAGUGAGAUCAUAUGGCAUGUAGUAACAUUUGAACUUAAUAAUUUUGGUCUAUUCCCACCUACUAGAGAACUACCAACCACCACUUUUAUCAUUGUUCACACGGUUCGGCGUGUGACAGUUAGAUGUAUUGCACGAUGGUCCAUGAAGAUUAAAAAUAGACCAGAUAUAAUGGUUGUAGAAGUUGUAUUGGGUUAAACAUAUGAGUGUAUCGGUUAAAUUGUUUUCGUCCCCUGAAAGUCUGAACCUGUGAUUGUUGUUGGUUAGAUUUUGUAUUUCGGAUUAAGGCUAGUAAACUUUCAAUUACACGCCAAUUUAAGUUUCAGAGUAUGCAUUUUCGAAAAAUCUGUGAUGCCCUUCAGCAAUUACACAGUUAUACACGUAACGAAAAUGACAUGCAGAUCGAUAUGAAUCAUUAUGAGGAACGAAAUUGACGCAAGACGUUUAUUAGGGUUUAAAUACAUUCUUAUCACUUAUAUGUAUCCCAUUGAAAUUUUCAUUAUACACUUGCCAUUAUUUUUAAGUUUUCGAAGAAUUCGCGACGCUCUUCUGCAGUUACAUAGUUAUACAAGUAACGAAAAUGACUUGUAGCUUCUUCAGCAGUUAUAUAGUUAUACAAGUAACGAAAAUGACAUGUAGAUAUGAAUCAUUAUGACGAAUGAAACUGAUGCAAGACAUUUAUUAGGGUUUAAAUAGAUUUUUAUUCCUUAUUUGUGUCCCAUCGGAGUUUCCAUUAUUCACUUGCCAUUAUUUUGAGGUUUUCGAAGAAUCUGCAAUGCUCUUCAACAGUUACAUAGUUGUAUAUGUAAUGAAAAUAACAUCCAGUUUUGAAUCAUUAUGGGUAAUGAAAUUGAUGCAAGACGUGUAUUAGGGUUUAAAUACAUUCUUAUCUCUUAGUUGUAGCCCAUUGCAAUUUUCAUUAUUCAUUUGCCAUUAUUUUGAAGAAUCUGCGAUGCUCUCAAGGAGCGACAUAGUCGUCCACAUAACGAAAAUGAGUUGCAGAUAUGAAUCAUUAUGACAAACAAAAUUGAUGCAACACGUUUAUUAGGGCUUAAAUACAUUCUUAUUCCUUACUAAUAUUAUUCUUUGGUCAUCUCAAUUUACAAUGCAUGCCCUUUAAUUAUCACAUUAAGCCAACGAUUUAGGGCAAAUAAUUAUUCUAUAAAAUGAUACAUAUGAAUAGUAUAUUUUCUAAUGAACUCCUAGUUAAACAUAUCAUCAAAUUCUCAUUUCAAUAUGUAACUAUCAAUUCAUAAAAUCAAUAUCAAUUUUUUUAAUAAGUUAAUUUAAACAUGUUCUUAACUUAGAUGUAAACAAAACUAGGUGUAUUAUAUGUAUAUUAAAUUAGUAGAGGAAUAAUAUAAGUGGCAACAAGGUCCAUUAUAGUCAAAAAUUUUAUUAUAUUAAUUUUUUUGUUAGUCAAACCUAAUCUUUUUUCUUAAUAAAUGCGCAAUUAAUCACAUUAAUUAUCAUCUUUAACCCGCGUGUCAAAACAUCCGUUUCUUAUUCCUCAAGUCCUCAAUGCCACUGCCAUUACCAUUUCCUCCUUUUCCAGUUCCCAUCAACAAUUAAGAUAAUCAUCCCGCAUUCACAUAAGAGAUUAAUUUGCUCUGAUACUAGUGAAUGCAAUGCUAAAUUCAUCAAAAUGUUGAAUUUUAAUAUGUGAUGUAAAUUUAUAUCCAAAUUAGAAAUCAUAACAAAUAGUGAAUUUAAACUUCAUAAUUCAUCGCCAUAUAACAAGAGAAAUUAUAUUUUUUAAAUAUCAAAUUUUCAAUAUUACAUAAGAAAAUGAAUAAAACAUCCUCUGGUUUUAUCAUAAUUACUAUUAUUAGGCUCAUAAUUAAGUCAUAAUUAUAACUCAAGAAUUAAUUCCAAACAUUACUUAGCAUUAAUACCAUGGUAUUUAUUCAUAUAAUCUGUUUGUCAAAUGAAGUAUGUGUAAUUUAUAACUAGUUAAUCCAAUCAACUUGUUAACUUUAGUGUAAACAAAUUAAGUGCACUAAUUUGGUGGAUUAUGAUCUACGUGGCAACAAGAUCCAUAAUAAUUGUCAAAACAAAAUUAUUUUUUCCAGUUAAACAUAAUCUUUUCUCUUAGUAAAUGUGCAAUUAUCUAUACACUUAUAACCUACACGUGUUGCAUUGUCGUCACCACCACCACUUUUUCGUUUGUCAAGUUUUCAUCACAUGCACGAAAAUUACGUACACGUGUGGCUCAGACAGAUUACGUUUCCAAGUUUGAAAUCUUUUAGUUAUCCUUCUGUUGUCACCAUCACCACCACCAGUACCACUUCCUCCUCCAUCAAGUUCCCAUCACAUCCAAAAAAAAUUGCACGUACGGUUCUAGCCAAUUAUUUGAAUCUUUUUUCAAUUCUUCCAACCUUUUCACAUCACACAAAAUUCAAAAAAAUACCUUCGAAAGACCAUAAAAUUAUGAAAAUUAUAAUUACAAAAAAUAGCAAAUUCAAACUAAUAAUUUGAUACCAUUAAAACUCAAAUCACAUACAUAUAGCACUCAAACAUUUUAGAAAAAAACAACCCUAAAGAUUUAUUUAAUUUUUCUAUUUUGCUUUCAAGAGCAAAUUUUUCUUCGACAUUAACAUUUCUUCCCCCAUAUAUAUACUAGUACUACUAAUAUUUCUCUUAUCAUCCUUUUUUUCUUAAACUCUAUCCUAGUUACUGAAAAUUAAAAGGAUGAUUACACUAAUUAAACAAGAUUACAACUAAUUAAGUAAAAGACAUUUCAAUAAACCUUGCGAAUUCUCCGAUCAUCAACUUCUGCAAUUUCACAUUUUCUUUGGCACCGUUGGAAAAUUGAGGUCGAUCUGAAUGCCCUUAGUAUCAUUACCCAUAAAAUCAACCACUGAUGAAGAAUCUGACUCACUGAGAUCUC
rnacentral:lncRNA from 1 species